AGCUUAAUAGAAAAAAUCUCACCUUUUUCACUUAAUUUCCUUGAAAAUUCACACUUUUUCUUUGAUUUUCUCUCUCUAGGGUUUUGUUUUUUUUUUCUCUCUCUUCUUGCUGGUUUGGCCGGCCAUGGGGUGGAAGAUGGGCUGAUUUUGUGCCUUUUAAAAAGGAAAAUAAUAAAUUAAUAAAGGCAUGACACAUGGCAUCAUGUCAUUGGCCCGUUUUUAAAAUUUUAAAAAUUUAAACAUUUUAUCUCCACCACAUGUUUAGUCAAGGGUCAAAGAUGAAGAUAAAGGAAGACCAUGUGCUGGAAAAAUGUCCUGGUGGUGGAAAAUUACAAUUUUGCCCCUGGGGUGGUAAAAUUAUCAUUUUACCCUUUUAUUCUAAAUUAUACCGAAAUUAAAAUUUUUCACUUCUAAACCUCAAAUCUUACUCCAAUAAGUCAAAUUAUACUCCAAUAAGUCAAAUGGGGCCAAAAAAAUCUUUUCUAAAAUUCCCAUUUUGUCCCCAGGUGGCAAAUGACCAUUUUGCCCCUAGAUAGCGAAAAUUCCGGUUUGACUCCAAAUUGAUCCUCGAACUCCGAAUCACCAUAUUAAACCAUUUUGGGACUUUAAAAUUCUUAAUUCCAUCGUAAAUUCUCUAUUUGAUCUAGUUCGAAGCUUAAAUCAACUUUAUUGUACCUCUAGGUACAAUACCGACUUUUGUAAAUUUUUCGGGACUCUCCUAGCAUGCAAACAUGCUAUCCAUCACAUGCAUGUCAUGAUAAAUAUUUUUAUAGAGUCGGGCUUGUCAUCUUCUCCCCUACUUGGAUCAACCAUAUGAUCUUUCUUCUUGAUUGACUUCGACAUCCUACUAAAUAUUAAUAUUUUAAUAUUAUUUUAUUAAUAAAAUAUUAUUUUAUUCUAAAAAUUUUAUCUUGUCUCCUUGGUACCCAAAAUACCUUAUUAUGCCUCACUUGACUUUCAAAUCGCCCUUUUAUCUCACAAAUUCUCCUCCGAUAAAAUUAUUAUUAUUUUAUUAUUAUUUUCUCACUUGCGAAAUAUUUUAUCCUAAACUACUCUCGUCUUUUAUCACUUCUAAACAUUUUAAUUGACCUCAAUUUGCAUUCGAUCAACUUUAUUUAUCACCAUAUCAAAGUAUGGGGUAUUUCACCCCAUGUCCAUUUGGAGCAUUAGUUAAAGUUAGAGUUGAUCAAAAGAAUCAACAAGGAUAAGUGAGUAAACUUGCAUUAAAUUAUUUUUGAGAAAUACAUAUAGGUUGAGAUGAAGCACUUAAAUGAUUAUAUUUUACCUUUUUUCUCUAAAUCAUGCUUGGGAACAAGCCCUCGAUGAAACAUUUUAUGUUAUAAAAUGUGUAAUGUGAUGAACCCAUGUGUUCCUAUAUUUUGAUGAUAUAUAUAUAUUAUGCUUUGAAUGAUAAUAUUGUGUGAUAAUUGUAAUUGCGCGUGUACGGUGUGGGGGUGCACAUGCUGGUGAUGACGAAUGAUUCCAACUAUGUGCGUUGUGGGAGUGCACAUGAGCUGAUGCUCGGUGGAUGAUGAUUCCAACUAUGUGCGGUGUGAGAGUGCACAUGAGCUGAUGUCUGGUGGAUGAUGAUUCUAGCUAUGUGCAGUGUGGGAGUGCACAUGAGCUGAUGACUGGUGGAUGAUUACAUGUUUAAACAUACCAUAGAAAUGCUAGAGAAAAUAUUAUGUGAUUGCAAUGAAUGUUGAAUGUUGAAAUUGUUAAUUGCUUCCAAAAUGAUUUUCAAUGCAACGAGAAAUUCUCUGUCUUGCUUGUCUUCCUUGGAUAUUUGCUGUAGUUUUCACUCUUUUCAACUUCGUUGUUGAUCAUAGAUCCUUCAUUCUAAGGGAUUAAAUAACCAAAGGUUGAAUUAAGGGGCUUUACAAGAAAUUAACCUAAAUUGCAUUGUUUUUAACAUAAGUGCAUCAUGUUUUCUGCAACUUUCCAUAUCGUUUACUUGUUCCCUUCCUAUGUUCACUCACUAGGUUUAUACUCACUCUUUUAAACUUCAUGUUUGCAGAGUCGAAGGCAGUUGGGACCUAGAUUGAGGUGUCCAUGUAUAUUCAUCUUUUUGGUAGGUACCAUGGCAUUCAGUAGUUGUACCUUCACCCAAAGUCACUUCGCUGAUAGUCAAGAGUCUUUUGCCUGUGUAUGCGUACACGUGCUAUAAAUCACUAAGAUUCAUAGUAUAAACAAUAUAUGUAUAUUUUGAUUGAUGAUGCCAAUAUGAGUUGAUAAUGGGUGAUAUUAUUUUGGAUGAUCUAAAUACAAGUAGUUGAUUGCCAUAGUAUAUCACUGAAUAAUUUUAUAGUUGAGAAUUACGAAAUGUGACUUUAAGAAUGAUUGUUGAAAUGACGAUCGAGAUUACAUAAAGAGGCUUGCUUGGGCUUAGUGGGUUAUUUCCAUUAGGCCCAUGGAUCGACCAUGGGCUUAAAAUUGGCCUGUGACAAAGUUUGUAUGAGAGCCCUGGGUUGUUUAGGCCCUAAGAUUUUCAUUAUUGAUCCAAUGAAGUAUCGAGGUCUUUAUGUGGAAACUUCAAUCGUAAAUUGUGAACCGCGACACAUUUUACAACCAAGAAACCGCAUAGAUUCUUUAUUCUAGAAACCACAUUUCCCCUUAAGUAUAAUUAUAACUUGUGUUUAAUAAUAGGUGUUUUCUCUUGUCUAGGUAAGAAUGCCGCCUAAGACACAAGCCACCUCGAGAAGGACGAGGGAGCAAGAUGCUCCUAACGAGAUGAUGGUAAGCCACGGGCUCCCACCCUUAGGGGGAGAGGCAGACGUGGCAGGACCACUAGGUCGGUGAUGGUAGAUAUGCUUAUGAGUAGACAUGAGGAAGAAUAGUCUUUAGGUGAUUAGAUAGACAUCCAAUUGGGGGCAUUACUAUCGAAGACUUCGUUGCAGGUUUGCAAGGAGUUAAUAAGGUUGUGGAGAUGAUGGCAACUCGUAUGGAUGACAUACAAAGAAUAGUAGAGAGGAGACAUGUAACACAAAAGUCCCUUAGUUUACAAGGACAAGUUGAUUGCCAUCAUCUAGAGGUUGAGAAGGUCAUGUGGAGGUUUCAUUUCCUGAUUUCCUGAAGCUUAAGCCUCUAUCGUUUACAGGGUCUGAUGCAUUGAAAAAAGCCCAGGUUUUCUUAUACAGUAUGGAAAAAAUUUGUGAUACCUUGGGAUGCUCUAGUACCAGAUCAGUUAAAUUAGUCACUUUUCGAUUUGAGGAUGUGGCACAAGAGUGGUAUGGUUCCCUGCAUAGAGGUAGGCCAACUGGUGCGACCUCGUUGAGUUGGGAUGAGUUUAGUACAGUGUUCUUGGAUUGAUUCUUACCAAUCAGUGUGCGUAAUGCAUGAGCUAGGGAGUUUGAGGCCUUAGUACAAACCCCAGGUAUGAUGGUGUCGGAAUACGACAUCAAAUUCACAUAGUUGGCACAAUAUACGCCUUAUCUAGUUUCUACUGAAAAGAUAAAGAUUCAAAGAUUUGUGGAUGGGCUAGUGGAGCCAUUGUUUAGGGCUGUAGCAUCUAAGGAUUUUGAUAGCUACUCUGCAACUAUGGAUUGCAUGUAAAACCCGACCCUAUAAACACAUAUCAUGAUAUACAUGCACUGAGUAGCAUGUUAUUACGCUAGGAAAGUUCCUAAGAAUAGAUGAAACCCGGUAUUGUACCUAAUGGUACACUUAAGUUGAUUUAACUUUGAACUAGUUCAAAUAGAAAUCGUAGGAUGAAAUUUAAUAUUUUACAGUCUAGGAAUGACUAAAAAUGAUUGUUCGGAGUUCGAGGGUUCAUUUGGGGAAAAAUUGAAAAUUUUGAUGUUUAGGGGCAAAAUCAUCAUUUUGACACCUAAGAUAAUAAUUUGAUCAUGGAGUGAAAUUUUUGAUCAAGAUUAACUAUUUGGAGUAUAAUUUAAUGAUAGGAAGUGAAAAUUUUCAAUUUCGGCAUUUUUCGAAACAUAGGGGCAAAACGAUAAUUUUGUCACCUCGGGGUAAAAACCGUAAUUAUCACCACCCAAAACUUGUCAAAAUUAUAGUAUUUAUUUAUUUUUGGUAUGAAUAACUAUGGUAUUUCAAGUGGUGAAGAGUAGAAGUUUAAUGGAUGAAAUUUUAAAAACGGGCCAAUGGGAAAGUGACACAUGGCACUUUUUAAUGAUUUAAUAAUUUUUUAAAGGAAAGUCAACCCAUUUAAACCCCACAUCAGGUGAUGGCUGGCCAUAAGGAAAGAACAAGAGAGAAAAUAGAGAGGAAAGGAAGAAAAGAGAAAAACCAAAGGAAAACUAGAAAAUUCAAAGGGAAAAUCGCGUUUUUUGACCGUUUACCCGUCUAACGGUAAGAUUUUUCGACUUUAGCUUGAUUUCUACCUUUCUUAUGCCUUUGUUUCCAUUUAGCAUGCUUGAGGAGUGAGAUCAAAAAGUGAUACCAAGGGCUGGCCGAAUUUCAAGGGAGAGGAAUUUGAAAUUCUUAUGUUUUGAUUUUUAGUUAAAUUGAUAGUUUUAGUUAGUUAAAUGUGUAUAGAAAUCAAAUUGGGCAAGAAAACAUGAAAUUUUCACAAUACCCACCCUUGGCCAAAACUUCAAUGAUGUACAAUGAUGAAGAACUGAUUUUUAUUCUAAAAGAAAUGAAGAGAAAAUGAUGAAAAAUGGUUAAAUGUGAUAGAAAAACAAAGUGGAAAAUUUACUUAGUUAAUGUCCCAUUUUUGGCCGAAUUUUCCAAGGAGAAAAGUGAGCUGAUUUUGGUGAUUUUAGAGGAUUAUUGGAUGAUAUUUAAUGUUUAGAAAUGUUGGAGAGAAAAUGGGACAACUUAGAGCUAAAAUAGAGUGCGUUAGCAAUUUAUCGGGUAAAGUGCCAAAAAUAGGUUAAUACCGCGUUUAAGCCGUUUUAGGCUAUUGCAUUUCAUACCAUGCAUUAGUAUAGGAUUUAAGUCAAUUAUAUAGUGAUUUAGCAUCAAUGUGGUGAAUUAUGAAAUUUUUGCAAUGUGUCUAGGAGGAGAGCCUUCCGGUAAAGGCAAGGAAGUCAUACCCGAUGAACAGUGAUCGGGGCACCUAGAAAGCAUUUAAUUUGUACAAACGGUGAGUAAACUAUUAUUAUUGUAAAUUAUCUAGAGUUUAUUUUUAAAUGCUCUUCAUGGAUUUUAUGAAACGAAAAUGAGAUUAAAAUGGGAUUUUUGAUGUUUUAGAAAUAAAUGUGACAAAUAAAUAUAUUGUCUUGAUUUUCUGAAAUAAGAAACUAUUGAUUAUAAAAUUGAGUAAUUGGAGGCUUUCAAUUGUAUUGAAAAAUAUAUUUUCCUAUGAGUGGCUUAUGAUAUAUGAGUAUAUGUGGCUAUAUUUUAUAAUUGCAUUGGGAAUUUAUGUAAGCUGUCUUUUACUAUGCAGGCUGGGUAAAUAAAUAAAAGCCACGUUAUACUGUCGAAAUUUUAUUAAAAUUGGUGGGUUUAGUUACUACAGUGACGGGUUUUCGUGGACUGCCUAUUAGAGGGGUACGGUAAACUCGGUUAUAUAGUUACUUCGAUUGUAGAGGCGAGGAGGUUAACUCUUGGAGUAGUGUUAGAGCUCACUUCACGUCGAACCCCCAUGUGAAUGUGUAACUCGACCAACGCCAAGGAACGACUUGUUUUCAAAACUAACAUGUGUUUAACAUGUAAAUAUUUUAACAACCUUGGCAGACUCGGUUAGAUGCCUCGGCCAAGGUAUCCCCGAGGACUAGUUUUUGCUUGAGCCCUAUUUUUAAUAAAAGUUAUAAGCCUGAACAACUGUUUUGGUAUAUUACAAAUAUUUUAUGGUUUAAGAAAUAAAUUGAAACCUUAUGAAAUAGUUUGUAAUUUGUUGUUUAAACUUGCCUCCAUUUUACUCGCCUUUAGAUAUUUAUGAAAAUGUCUGUUUACUCAUUGGGAUUGCAAAAUCUCACCCACCUCCUUUCCAAAUAUUUCAAGCUUGUGGUAGCUUGUAGAUACCCGAUUUUGUUGAGGAUUCUAGUUGACCCCUCUAUCACACAGACAGUAGGUUACUAUCACCAACACUUGGUAUAUUUAUGGGCCACUUGUCAUUGUAAUUAUUAUUGUACAUUAUAACUUUGUAAAUUAUUGUAUGUAUGAAUUUAUUUUACUUCUAAGUUACAAAAGAUUACUUACACGUAUUUCUAUAAAUAUUGUUUUAUAUAAAAAUGCUAUAUUUUUGUCUUUUGAUUUACUUGAGCCGAAAAUGACUGGAAAUUGUUUAAAACUUAUAUGUAAGCCUUGCAGGGUUCUGAUUGGUAUUCCGGGUAAUGAGUAUCAAUCGGGACGUCGCGGCGGUUGUCAUGGGCGCGAGGGAGGUUCCGAGUUGUGACAUUGUGCUCAACGAAUUGAGAUGAGGAGCAUCGAGAUUAGGGUUGUAAGGGAUAGAAAAAAAAGGCCAAGAUAAAGAGCCAUUAAGGUCGUAAAGACUUUAGUAGUGACAUUUCAUCUUUUAGCCAUUAGGGCCCACAUCGGGACUCACGGUUACCCCAACAGGAAAGUGGCUCGCCUAGUUCUAGUAUUGGGGUGGGAUAAAAGACCUUCGAUGUUGUGAGAUAGCAAGAUUUAAGGUAGGGUGGCCAGGUUAUCAAUCGUUGCAAUAUUUGUGGAGUACGACAUAGAGGACGAUGCCUUCGCACUAUAGGGGUUUGCUAUACAUGUGGUCAACCUGAACAUAUUAGGAUGAAUGGUCCGAUGGCUCAUCAAUCACAAGGUUUUGCUCACAACUCUACCCAGCCAGCUUCGUCUACUCUUUCAGCAACCGUUUCACCUAACCAGAAGGCUAGUGGAUCGAGAGGUAGAGGUGUUGUUACUUCUUUUUAAAGCAGGCUAUCUGGGUCUGGACAUUAGAGUUCUGUCGAUAGGGGCCACACAAGGGUGUACGCUCUGACAUCGUAGGAGGCCUAAACAUCCAAUGUAGUGGUCUCAGGGACUCUUUCUAUUUGUGAUAUGAAUACUCAAGUAUUGUUUGAUCUUGGUUCUAUGCACUCUUUUAUUUCUCCAUGUUUUGCACCUCGAUUGGGUAAAGAUUGCGUUAUGAGAGAAGAACAAUUAGUGGUGUCUACCCCUUUAAGGGAGGAAUUUAUAGCAAAAUAGGAAUAUAAGUCCUGUGCAGUUCGGGUUAAGGACAAAGACAUUUUGGUCAAUCUAGCGGUAUUAGACACCUUAGAUUUUGAUGUGAUUUUAGGAAUGGAUUGCCAUGCCAGUGUGGAUUGUUAUCAUAAAUCGGUUAGAUUUCAUUUUCCCGAAGAACCAUCAUUUAGUAUUCAAGGGGAUAGAAAUAGUGCUCCAACCAAUUUGAUAUUUGUCAUGUCUACUAAAAGGCUAUUAAGACAGGGUUAUCCAGGUUAUUUGGCUAUUGUGAGACAUACCCAAGCGAAGGUUAGGGAUAUCAACCAAGUAUCAAUAGUGAAUGAGUUUAUAGAUGUAGUUCCAGAUGAACUACGAAGUUGGCCUCUCGAGUAGGAGAUUGAAUUUUGUAUAGACUUGAUUCCCGACACUAGACCCAUAUCCAUACCCUCAUAUCGAAUGACACCUACAGAGCUUAAGGAACUUAAGGAUCAGUUAGAAGAUUUGUUAGAUGAAGGCUUCAUCCACCCCAGCAUCUCACUAUGGGGAGCACUGGUGCUAUUUGUAAAGAAGAAAGAUGGGUGACUUAGAUUGUGUAUUAACUACUGACAUCUUAAUAAAGUGACGGUGAAGAAUAAGUACCCCUUUUUGAGAAUAGAUGAUUUAUUUAACCAACUACAAGGAGCACAAUGUUUCUCUAAGAUAGAUUUACGAUCUGGGUACCAUCAGUUAAAGAUCAGGAAAGAAGACAUACCAAAGACUACAUUUCGAACAAGAUACAGGCACUAUGAGCUUUUAGUGAUGUCAUUUGGGCUUACGAAUGCCCCUAUGGCCUUUAUGGAUUUGAUGAACUGAGUGUUCAAAUCUUAUUUGGACAAGUUUGUGGUGGUAUUUAUUGAUGACAUUUUGAUCAACUCAAGGAGUCGGGCGGAACACGAGCAACACUUUAAGAUAGUGCUCCAAACUUUGAGAGAACAUCAAUUGUAUGCCAAGUUCUCCAAGUGUGAGUUUUGGCUUAAAGAUUUGGAGACAUUAUUUCUGUGGUGAGACUUGCGAGAUAUAUACAGACCAUAAGAGCUUAAAGUAUAUAUUUCAGCAAAGGAUCUUAACUUGCGGCAACAUAGGUGGAUGGAGUUGCUUAAGGAUUAUGAAUGUACUAUUAUCUAUUAUCUCGGUAAGGCUAAUGAAGUGGCGGAUGCCUUAAGUCAAAAGUCGAUGGGUAGUCUGGCACAUAUAUCUGUAGAUAGGAGAUCUUUGAUUCAGGAGAUGCAGGGUUUAGGAGAUAUGGGUGUGCAUUUUGAAGUUUCAGAGACAAAUGCAUUGUUAGCACAUUUUAGAGUUAGACCUAUCUCAAUAGACCAGAUUAGAGAAGCCCAAAGUAAAGAUGAGUUCGUAACUAAGGCCUUGAAGGACCCUUAGGGAGGGAAAGGAAAAAAUGUUUACUAAAGACACAGAUGGAGUAUUGAGGUAUGGGACCGAACUUUAUUUGCCCAAUAGUGAUGGAUUGAGGAGAGAAAUACUAAAGGAGGAGCAAAUGGUAGUGUAUGUGGUACAUCUAGGAGCUACAAAGAUGUACCAAGAUUUGAGAGAAGUACACUGAUGGGAAGGACUUAAGAAAGACGUAGCUGAGUUUGUUUCUAAGUGCCUAGUUUGUCAGCAGGUUAAGGCAAAGCAUUAAAGGCCCGCAAGGCUACUACAACCAUUAUUAGUGCCUGAAUGGAAGUGGGAACAUGUUGCAAUGGACUUUGUAAUGGGUUUGCCUCGAACUAGUAAGGGUUAUGACUCGAUUUGGAUUAUAGUAGAUCGGUUAACAAAGUCAGCUCAUUUUCUUCUGGUUAAAACUACAUACGAGGCUACCCAGUACACUCGAGUUUAUGUGGAUGAGAUAGUACGAUUGCAUGGUAUUCCCAUUUCUAUAGUAUUUGAUAGAGGUACACAAUUCACAAUAGGUUCUGAGGAAAGUUGCAGGAAGCAUUAGGCACUAAGUGGGAUUUCAGCAUAGCUUUCCACCCUUAGAUUGAUGGGCAGUUUGAACGAACAAUAUAGACAUUGGAAGAUAUGCUGAGGGCAUAUAUAAUAAACCUUGGGGUCAUAUGGGAUCAGUAUCUACCAUUAGUAGAGUUUGCUUACAACAAUAACUUCCAAGCUAGCAUCCCAAUGGCACCAUUUGAGGCAUUAUAUGGACGGAAGUGCAGGUCACCCAUUGGGUGGCUAGAAGCAGGAGAAAGUAAACUCUUAGGGUCAGAGUUGGUACAGGAUGCCACCGAAAAGAUACAAAUGAUUCGUUAGAAGAUGUUAUCAAUGCAAAGUAGAAAAAAGUCAUAUGCUAAUAACAGAUAGAGAGACUUAAAGUUUUAAGUGGGGGAUCAUGUAUUUUUUAAGGUCUCACCAACAAAAGAGGUAAUGAGGUUCGGUAAAAAAGGAAAAUUAAGUCCUCGGUAUAUAAGACCCUUCGAGAUCUUAGAUAAGGUUGGAGCAGUAGCAUAUCGAUUAGCAUUAUGGCUGGACCUCUCGAAUAUCCAUCUAGUAUUUCAUGUGUCAAUGCUAAGGAAGUAUGAUCGAGAUCCAUCUCAUGUAAUAUAGUAUGAAACCAUUCAGUUGAGAGAUGAUUAACCUAUGAGGAGGAGCAAUCGAUGGCUAUCCUUGAUAAACAAGUCAAAAGGCUCCAUUCAAAGGAUGUAGCCUUAGUGAAACUGUUAUGGUGAAACGACACCAGUGAAGAGGAAAUGUGGGAAGCUGAAGAAGAGAUGCGGACAAAGUAUCCGCACCUCUUUAAUACAUAGAGGUACGCAACCUUAUAGUUAGAUUUAAAUACGAGGAUUGAAUUUUCUUUUAGUAGGGGAGAAUGUGAAACUUCGACCUCCAUAAAUGCAUAACUAGAGGUAGACUGAUGAGUGCAUCAAAUUCACAUAUUUAAUGGAAGAUUAAAUACCUAAUUAGUCUAAGUUAGACUAGAUUUAGGAUCGAAUUUAUGUAGUUUUAUUUAUUUUAUUAGUUUAGUUUAAUUUAUAUUUAAAUGUUUAUUUUAAGUUAAUGAUGUUAGUUUUACGUUAUUUAUAAUUAUUUUAUGUUUUUAUAAGAGUAGGAUCAAAAAUAAUUUCAAUUGGUGAAGAAAGGUGCAUAAUGGACUAUUGCUUUAUUUGCAUAUGUUUCAGUCUUUCAAGUAUAUCUCAUACUACAAAAGUCUAAAUGAUAUGAGUUUUAAACCAUUAGAAAGAUAAGAGGUAGGGAUACAACUUUGAUGAUUGCCACUUUGCCCAGUUCUACUUAGAAGGUGGUCAAAAUCUUUGUCAAAGUGAAAGCACAGCACUAGAAGAACAAAAAGGGGCAUUUUUGUAAAUUAUGUGAAACUUUGAUUGACUUUAGAGAUAAGUAUCUAAAGUUCUAGCACCUUCUUCAUCUUCCUCUCGUUUCUUCUCUCCUUUUUGUAGAACUUUUCAUCCUUCAUGAAAAGAAACGUUAAAACCUCCAUAACCUUCUUAUACUAACUCCAAAAUCCAUGUUUUUGCACACUUUUUCAUAGGGUUUUUGUUCUCUUUCACUUUUCACCUCAAAAACACUCAAAAAAAGUUUUCUUCUGCACUUUCUCUCAUAGCUGAACAUUUUUAGAGAGGGAAACUCUUGAAAUUAGCUUGAAAACUCUUGAAGGAGUUUUCCCCUUUUUAUCCUCACUAAGAAAAUUCAACUACAAGUCCACUAAGGUGAGAAAUGAGUUAGAGUUGAUUUUAAGUUAUUAAAGAUGGCUAAUAGUUAGAUUUGUGGGCCAUUAUAUUUUUGAUGGUUAUAUUGUGUGUGAUAGGUUCCAACGAGGCCCCACAUGUCUAUUUGGAGCAUUAGUUAAAUUUAGAGUCGAUCAAAAGAAUCAACAAGGACAAGUGAGUGAACUUGCAUUAAAUUAUUUUUGGAAAAUACAUAUAUGUUGAGAUGAAGCACUUAAAUGAUUAUAUUUGACCUUUUUUCUCUAAAUCAUGCCUAGCAACAAGCCCUUGAUGAAACGCUUUAUGUUGUAAAAUGUGUAAUGUGAUGAACCCAUGUGUUCCUAUAUUCUGAUGAUAUAUAUGUUAUGCUGUGAAUGAUAAUACUGCGUGAUAAUUGUAACUGCGCAUGUGUGGUGUGGGAGUGCACAUGCCGAUGAUGACGGGUGAUUCCAACUAUGUGCGGUGUGGGAGUACACAUGAGCUGAUGACCAGUGGAUGAUGAUUCUAGCUAUUAUGUGUGGUGUAGGAGUGCACAUGAGCUAAUGACCGGUGGGUGAUGAUUCCAGGUAUGUGCUGUGUGGGAGUGCACAUGAGUUGAUGAUUGUGGAUGAUUACAUGUUUACACAUACCAUAGAAAUGCUAGAGAAAAAAUUAUGUGAUUGCAAUGAAUGUUGAAUGUUGAAAUUGUUAAUUGCUUCCAAAUUGAUUUAAAAUGAAUGAAAAGCUCUCUGCCUUUCCUGUCUUGCUUGGAUAUUUGCUGUAGUUUUCACUCUUUCAACUUCAUUGUUGAUCAUAGAUCCUUCACUCUAAGGGACUAAAUAACCAAAGAUUGAAUUAAGGGUCUUUACAAGAAAUUAAGCUAAAUUGCAUUGUUUUUAACAUAAGUUCAUCAUGUUUUCUACAACUUUUCGUAUCGUUUGCUUGUUCCCUUCCUAUGUUCACUCACUGGAUUUAUAUUCACUCUUUUAAACUUCAUGUUUUCAGAGUCUAAGGCAAUUGGGACCUAGAUUGAGGUGUUCACAUAUAUUCAUCUUUUUGGUAGGUACUAUGGCAUUCAGUAGUUGUACCUUCACCCAAAGUCACUCCACUGGUAGUCAAGAGUCUUUUGCUUAUUUAUGCAUAAGCAUGAUGUAAAUCACUAAGAUUUGUAGUAUAAACAAUAUAUGUAUAUUUUGAUUGAUGAUGCCAGUAUGAGUUGACAAUAGGUGAUAUUAUUUUGGAUGAUCUAACUGCAAGUAGUUGAUUGCCUUAGUAUAUCACUGAAUAUUUUUAUAGUUGAGAAUUACGAAAUGUGACUUUAGGAAUGAUUGUUGAAAUGAUGAUCAAGAUUACAUAAAGAGGCUUGCUUGGGUUACUGGGCUAUGCCCAUUGGGCCCAUGUGCCAAUCACAGCCCAAAAAUUGGGCUGUGAUAGUUUUGAAGUAUGGUAUUAUCACAACCCAAAUCCUGGGCCAUGAUCGGCACAUGAACCUAAUAGGCAUAGCCCACUAGAUCCAAGCAAGCUUUAUUAGAGAUUCUCGAUAAUUCACUAUACUAGUUCGCCAAUCCAUAUUAGUGCUUAACCCAUAUUCUUUCGUAUCAUAACUUGAACCAUAAUUAUAAUAAUCAAUUCAAUCUUUAAAACAUAUACUCAUGAGUAUAUACAAUGAAGUCUAAAAUCUCCAAUUUAAUGCUUAUACCAAGGCCAUUAUCCAUUUACAAUUAAAUAAACAAAGUGCUAUGACUCGACCUUUAGCAGUAGAGUGACUUGAAAUGAAAUGCUAUGAGAUGCCUUUACCUAUCUGCGAUGGACCAUAAGUGCCGAUGAUUGCAUGCUAGGCUGAUCACUAUCUGUAAAAGGGAAAUAAAGAGGUGAGUCUCACAAACUUAGUGAUCAUCAGCUCCGUGAGCAGGGAGUAGAUGGGAAACAAGCAAUAAGUAGAUCAUUUGAAUGAUAAAGCCAGAAUAUAAAAUGCUAAUCUUAUAAACCAAACCACAAGAAGGAUAUUUGUUCCUUGUAAAAAUAAUAUCAUAAAAUCAUAAUACAAUGCUUUCUUUGGCAAAACAAUGCCAAAAAAAAGUGUAACAGCAAGAGUUCCAAUUACCGAAAAUAUCAUUUGCCAUCAAAAUAUGAAAUACGGUAUAAAGAUAUGCACGCUCCCAAAAUGUGUGACAUGUAAAGAAAUCAAAGUGUAUAACCACAUAAACCAACUCAUGAUUGUCAAGUAAUCACAGAAAGCUUUUAUUUAAACUAGGGGAGCUGUAGAGAAAAUUUGAACCCUCUACCAUGCAAAAAAGUAUGCGUCGAAAAACUCACAAGGCUUUCUAGCAGGAAAGUAUAAUAUCAACACGUAGACCCACUUCCACGUAAUAAUAAUCCGAGAGUCUUACUCCACCGGAUUCCUAAAGCCAUGGCAAUCUCAUGACGUUGGCUGACAUCAGAGAAUCAAGUGGUUGUAAUCACGCACAUUUGGGAGUCUCACUCCACCUGCUCACUUGUGGGCUAGCCACAUAUACAUAUCAUAGGUCGUGGCCCCCACCACGCAUAACCGCUCGUCGGUGACCCAAAGGUUCUUUAGCUAGAGUUCACUUGUGCAUGAGCGUCACACUUAAUCGAAGUGACAGCCGACCUACUCUCGAUGCACUGGGUUUGUUAAAACCAAGUUUCAAAAAUCAAAUCGAGGUUUCCAAGUCUUUUGCAUAAAACCAUUUGAAAACAAGGUUCAAUAACCUUUCAAAUUACUUUUCACAUAAAAAGGCAUGGUGUAUUCUCUUAUACAAAGAUCAAACUAAAACUAGUGCUCAAAACUUGCAUUUUAAAUCAUUUAACUAUUUCAUUUAAACUAUGCAUAUCAUCCAUAAAUAGAAGGCACAAAUUUUGAAUGCAAAACAGUAUAAAAGGCUUGUUUCCCGGUUUCUAAAACACUUUACUUAUAUAGCUCAUCUAUAGAUAUAUCCAAAAUAAUUACCAAAACCACUUGCAUCCACAAUUUCUUACGAGUUCUACCAGCUUCAUGCUUUCCAUAAUAACAGUGUAUAAAUCAUUAUAAAUCCAUUUAGAAAUCACCUAUCGAAGCUAACAGCUCAGGCUUUCCACAAUUACAUUUAAUGAAAUACGGCAACAUUUACAAAAUGUAUAACAUUAUAUAGCUAUGGAAAUUUUUGAAACAGGAACCCCCUACUCACUUUAUAAUAGCGGGACGCUUCGUCGCUAUUGAUUCGGGUGCGUAUCUCACUAUUUCUACUUGCCAGUCACUCGUUACUUCACCCGGCAUGCCACCACGGUAAACUUUUCUACUUAUAUACUUCCUAGCAACAAUCCAAAUUCAAUAAUCUUAGUGCUUAUGAUUCCCAUUUUCCUCCUUAUUCAAACAUUACCAUCAUGUUAAUAACUCAUACUAUGCUAGAAUCACCUCUUUUUCUCACUUAACCUUGCAUAUUCAUAUACAUCUUGACACAUUUUUACCAAAGUUGCCUUUAUGCUUUGCUUGCGUAAUCUUUUAAAUUAUGAUUAUCGGCAACUUAUUUAUGACUCCAAUACAUAUAUUAAUCCUUUCUAAAGAUAUUUAUCAAGUUCAACCAUAAUUUUCACAACAAUAACCUAGCAUAUGGUAGUAACUAUAAAUUUACUUCCAUCAAACAUUUUCUAAGUCUACAUGUACUACCAUUCUCAUUUACAUGUUGCCACCAAGCAUAACAUCAAUAUUCAUUCAUACAAACCAACAUCCAUAACCUUUUAAGUUUUUCUUAACAACACAUAUCCACAUAAUCCAUUUUUUUUCCAAGCUUCCAAUUAAUAUAAUUGCUUUCCAACCAUACCCAUUACAUCACAAUAACACUACAUAUUGCACACAAUCAUCCUCACAAUAUUAAACUAAUCAUAGACUUCAAAUUGUAGCAUUAAGCUUACCACUUGGUUUUUGCUUGGAUUUCACACAACAAAAUUCACAAUUUCCUCACACCCAUGGCCACCAUAGCUACCACAAAAAUACUUACACAAUUACCAACUCAUUUCCAAAAAUUUCUAAAUCUAAAAAUCAAAAUCCUUACCUUAUGUCUUUUGAAUCUUGAAACCCACUUGAUAUUCCUUCAAUUGCUCUUGAAUCACUCACUACCCAAGCCUUCCACCCUCUUCUCCUUUCUUUCCUUAGCCGAUUCUCUCUAUUUUUCUUUUCAAAUGCAUGGUGGCAAGGUGAAAAUGGCAUGGGAGCAAGAAAAUGGCAUGGGAGCAUGAAGGUGAAGAAGAAAAUAUCUUUUGGGUGGAGAUAAAAACCAGCCAUGAGAUAAGAAUGAAAAGUUAAAGCUUCCUUUGGAAGCUUUGACCAAACUAAUGCAAAAUUAUCAUUUUACCCUUCAAGUUUUUCACCCUUUUUAAUUGUGUCCUCCCACAAUCUUUUAAUUCCAAUUUUUUUCCAUUUUUCUUCCUUAACACUUGUAUAAAUAAAAUAUCAAGUUUAUGCUUUAACGUGGUAUCAUUGCAAUAUUUAAAUAUUUACUUACUCGCACUAGCUUUAUUUAAUAAAGACAUGCAAGCCCCAUUAACGUCAUUUUUUUCUGAAAUUUCCUUGUUCUUCUUCUCCCCCACUUAGAUUGACCAUAUACUUCUUCUUCAUGGAAGAUUCGACUUUGAAUAAAAUAUUAAUAAUUUAAUAUUCUUUUAUUCCAAAAUUUUCCACUUGUCUCCUUAACAACCAAAAUGUCUUAUUAUGGCCCAAUUCACUCCCGAAUCACUUUUUAUCUCACUAAUUCAUCCUCAAUAAAUAUAUUAUUAUUUAAUUAUUAUUUCCUCGCGUGUGAAAUAUUUUAUUCCAAACUAUGCUUUUCACCCUUCAUCACUCUUAAACACUCUAAUUAACCUCAGUUGGCAUCCGAUAAGCUUUAUUAGCCAACAUAUCAAAGUAUGAGGUAUUAUAGGUACUGCACUCUUUAGUAAUUGCAACCAUUUCAAAGUCUUCCAACUUCUUCUUUUUGGUUAAGAUGUCUUUUAGAAAUUUAACAUAGCUUGGUACGUUUUCCAAAGCUUCAGCAAGAGGAAUAGUUAUGUGGAGCUUCUUAAAGAUAUUGAGAAAUUUCUCACACUGCUUAUUCAGCUUUUGUUUUUGCCACUUUUGUGGGAACGGUGGUGGAAGAUAAUUUACUGGAGACUUCACUUGAUUUUUAGCUUUCCAGCAUCAUUCUUUUCAACUUUAACUUUUUUCUCAACAGUUACCUCCUCAUCAUCCACAUUCUCUUUUGAAACUUCAAUUGAUUUUUCCUUUACCCCUUCAACUUCUUUCCCACUUCAAGGGUAAUUGCAUUGCAUUGUUCUUUACUUUUGAGAUUGAUUUGUAUGUCACUUGGUAAGGCACCUUGGAGUUUAUUGUUGAUGGAAUUUGCAAGCUAUCCCAUUUGGGUCUCAAGAUUUUUUAAGGAGGCUCCAUUGCUUUGAAUUAUAGCAUCAUUCUUUGAUAUAUAUUGAAUGAGAAACUCUUCCAAUUGAGACUUCUUUUCAAAAAUUGGUGGUCUAGCUUGUUGUUGAAACCCAAUGGGCAUGAUGGGUUUCAGAUUUGAAAGCCCUGAAUUAUUGUUCCAUGAAAAGUUUAAGUGAUUCCUCUACCCAUGGUUAUAUGUAUAAGAGUAUGGAUUAUUUUGCUGCUUGUUGAAGUUCCCUACAAAUUGAACUGAUUUGAAAUUGUAUGGACAUUCAUCAUUUGAGUGCCCAUAUCCACAUAUCUCACAAACUACAAAUGAAUUUUGGACAGUGUGAACUCCCAGAGUGUUAAACUUCUUGGAUAAUGCAACUACUUGUGUAGUUAAGACGCUAAGUGCAUCCAUUUCAUAUGCUCUAAUAGCUUUUCUUGGACCAGACCUUUUCAAAGCCCAUUGGUAAUUAUUUGAGGCCAUAUCUUCCAACAAAUUAUAAGCAUCUAUAGCAUUCAUACCCAUUAAUGCCCUUCUAGCAGUAGCAUCAAUUAUGGUUUUUAUUGAACUAAUAAGCCCAUUGUAGAAUGUCUGAAUUUGUAACCAAUCAGGAAUCCUAUGAUGUCAACAUCUUUUUAGUAGUUCUUUAAAUCUCUCCUAAGCUUCAUACAGAAAUUCACCUUCAAAUUGUGUGAAUGAGGUUAUAGCAUUCCUCAUCUUUGUAGUCUUGGAAAGCGAAAAGAAUUUUGCUAGAAACUUUUGAGCCAAGUCCUCUCAUGUAGUAUAGACCCAUUAGGUAGUGAAUUGAGCCAGCUCUUUGCUUUAUCCCUCAAAGAAAACCAAAAUAGUCUCAAUCUGAUAGCAUCAUCAGUUAUUCCAUUAUAUUUGAAUGUAUCGAAAAUUUCCAAAAAACUAACCAAAUGAGAAUUAGAAUCAUCACUGGGUAACCCACCAAAUUGUACUGAAGAUUAAAUCAUCUGAAUGUAAGCUGGCUUAAUUUCAAAAUUAUUUAUAUUGAUGGAAGGUCUUCUAAUGCUUUAGUGUAAACCUUGCAAAAAAGGAAUAUCAUAAUCCCACAGUGAUUUAUUUUCUGUUGGAACUAGAUUAAUGGCAUUAUUGCCAUUAUUGUUGUUAUUCUCAGCCAUUGUUUGAUUUAAAGUUGCAACUUGCAAAUUCUCCCUUCGACGUCUUUGAAAGUUUUUUAUAUCUCGAGAUCAAAAGGAACUGUAGUACCCCAUACCUUGAUAUGAUGGCUAACAAUGCUAUUUUUAUGUUAUUUAUAUUUAUUUUACGUUUUUAUAGGAGUAGGAUCAAAAAUAAUUUCAAUUGGUGAAGAAAGGUGCACAAUGGACUGUUGCUCUAUUUGCAUAUGUUUCGUUUUUUCAAGUAUAUCUCCCACUACAUAAGUCCAAAUGGCAUGAUUUUUUUACCAUUAGAAAGAUAAUAGGUAUGGAUACAACUUUGAUGUUGACUACUUUUCCCAGUUCUAGCAAGAAGGUGGUCAAAAUCUUUGUAGAAGUGAAAGUACUGCACUAGAGGAAUAGAAUUUGGCAGAACCUUUGAGAGCUGCGACGCUGGAAAUUGAGAGCCGCGACCUUCAUUGUAUUUUCCACAAUUAACUAGUUUAUGGGACUUUGGAAGCUAGGGCUUUUGGGAGGCUAUUCAAGGGACCUUUUUAGAGGAUUUUGGACCCUUUCUCAAUGUCAAAAGAAUAAAAAGAUUGCACAAAGGGUAAGAGUAAGAUAAGCCACCUUGUUAAGGGCAUUAUUGUAAUUGCAUAAAAAAUUGGAUAAGCUUUGGCUAUAAAUGUCAUUUUCCAGCAGCUUCCACCAGCUUCUAGCAACUUCUUUUUUCUUCCUCCCCACCCAACGCCAUAUUCACCUUUACCACCAUGGAAAUGGAGUUUUUCAAUUUCUUUUCCUUUUUUUCUUCUUGUUUCAUUUCUUUUCUUGCUUCUUUCUUCUCCAAACUUCUUGGGAACUGAAUUUGCAGCUUCUGACCCCAAUUUUCAGCACAUCUAAACCUUAGGAGAGAGAAAAAAAAUCUCUCCUUGUUUCUUAUUCUUUCUAUUUCUAUUUCACUUUCAACAACACUUGGUUUUUGGCUUCAAAUCUUCAUUUUUAAGGUUGAAAGGUAUAUAUAUUUCCAAAAUUUGGAAUUUUUGAAUUUAUGGUUAUAUUUUCAGAUUUAUUCCCUAAUUUCUUCAAAUUAUUUUCCUUGGAAAGAUUAGGUUUUCCGUUGAUCUUCAUGCCUCCAAGCUCAUCCAGGUAACGAAAUUUUAAAUUGGAGUAGUUGGCCAAAUGGGCUUGUGAAUUAGACUAGAAACUUAGGUUAAAUGUUAGGUUAGAGGGUAGAUUGCCUAAAGUAAAUUCAUUAGAAUUAUUUUAAUUUAUGACUUAAUUGAGGUUGUUAUGGUUUAUUGAUAAAUAUAGGUUUUAAUGGUAUUUCGGGACUACUUGGAUUAGGACCUUGUUGGUGCUAGUUUUGUCAGGUGAGUGAACUUGCAUUUUAAAAUGUUUUGGGGAAAUGUUUACGUGUUUCAAUGAAUCAUUUGUAAAUUUUAUCGAUUUUUGCUUUAAAAUUGCCUGGGAACAAGCCCUUGAUAAAAUGUUUGAUGUUGUGAAAUGUGAAAUGUGUAAAAGGAUGAAUCCAUAUGUUUUUGUAAGAUGUUGAUAUAUAUAUAUGUAUACUAUGUCAUAAAUGGUACCAUUGUAUGAUAAAUGCAACUGUGCAUGUGCGGGGUGAGUGUGCACUUGCCGGUGGUGACGGUGGUGAGAGAGAUGGAUGGUGAUACUGUUCGGCUAUGUGCACGAUAUGGUGGAAUGCAUAUGAGCUGGGUGAGAUAGGAUGUCCUGCUAUGUGCAUGAUGUGGUGGAUGCACAUGAGCUGGGUGAGAUGCACAUGAUGAAUCUUAAAAAUUUGUCAUUAUUUGCAAAUUGAUUUUAUUGCAAUGAGAAACAUUCUGUUUAUACUGCCUUACUUGGAUAAUUGCUUACAAUUUCCCUUCUUUCCAAUUUCAUGCUGAAUACGGUUCCUUCAUCAUUAAAUGAUUUUACAACCAAGGGUUUAAUGGAGGGAUUUUAAUAAGAACUAAACUAACUGGCAUAGUUUUUAAAUAAGUGCAUCAUGUUUUCUAAACCAUUCCUUGUCACUGCUUGUUCCCUUCCUAUGUUCACUCACUGAGUUUGUACUCACGUUUUUAAAAUUCAUGUUUUAGGUUUCCCGAGUUAAAGGUGAUUGGAUCCUAGGAUAAGGUACUCUUCCUUAUCCAUUGGUUAGUAGGCUUACCAUGACAUUAAAUGUUAGCAACCACAAACAGAGUCACUUCGCUGAUAGUCAAGGCCUAAUUAUAUGUAUAUGAAUACUUGAGGUGAAAUACUAAUGUGAGACCCUGUCAAGCUCGAUUAAAAGACGGUAUUGUACCGAGUGGUACAACUAAGUUAAAUCGAGCCUUGAACUAGUUCAAAUAGAAAUUCUAAGAGGAAUUUGAAAAUUUUAAAACCAACAGAAUGGCUUAGAAUAGUGAUUUGGAGUUCAAGGUCCAGUUUGGAGUCCAUCAGAAAAUUGACCAAUUAGGGACAAAACGGUCAUUUUACCAUUUGAUGAUAAAAUGGAGAUUUUUAGCCAAGAUUUGAUCACAUUUGACCAAGAAUAAUUAUAUGAAAUAUAAUUAUGAUUAUUGGAGUAUAAAAUGAUGUUUAGCAGUGAAAAAUUGUGAUUCUCGGUAUUUAUGGAGCACAAGGGCAAAAUGGUAAUUUUGCCACUAAAGGACUAAACGAAAAUUUUUUUAAACAAUUUUUGCCCCAUUUGGUUAAUAUUGAUCAAUAUUAGUGUUAUUUUAGGUUGAAAAGUAGAAAUAAUGAGAUUCCGGUACAUUUCGGAGUAAAAGGGCAAAAUAGUAAUUUUUUUGCCCCAGGGGCAAAUCGGUAAAUUUUUCACCCCAGCACUUGUCAAGACCAAGGGAUUUUAAUUGUGGUAGGAUUGGAUAAAUACCAGAAUAUUUGUGGUGGAAAAUUAAGAAGAAAAAGUCAAAAAGUUAAAAAUUGGGCCAAUAAGCAUGUGACACAUGGCAUGCUUGAUUAUUUUAUUAUUUUCUAUAGAAAUCAGCCCAUUAAAUCCCCAAUUCCCUCACCAUAUUCGGCCUAGGCAUCCAGCAACAAGAAAAAAGGAAGAACAAAAGGAAAAACAAGAAAACCUAGGUGGAAAUUCAAAGAAAAAGUGAAGAAAUCAAGGAAACAAGCUAGGUAAGUUAAAAUUUCUUUAAUUCUCCUUGAUACCUAGCUUACCCAUGCUUUUGUUCUUGAUUUCCAUGGUUGAAUAUUGAGUUAUCAUGAUGAAUUCAAUUCUGAAAAAUGGGUAUGGAAGAGGAAUUGUUGUUGGAAUAAUUUGAUUUUAGACUAUGUUAGUGUUUAGGGAUAGUUAAGCAUGGUUAUGAACAAAAACACAAAAGAAAUAUUCAAUUUCUCUAGGGUUCCUUGUUGGCCGAACCAUGAGGGCUGAAUAUCAAUGGGGGAUUGUUUUUAUUUCAAGGAAAAUGGCAUGGAAAAUGAUGAAUUAAGGUGAAACGGUUAUGUAGAAAAAAAUUCGAUGCUAGUGCACCAAAUGACCAAAUUUUUCUAUAAGGAACUGUGAGGGUUCUAAUGCUGAAUUUGGCUUUAUUUAAAUGUAUGUGGUAAAUUAAGGUAUUAGAGGAGAAAUGAAUUAAUUUGGAGGUGAUUUGGACACAAUCGCCGAUUAAUCGGGUGAUCGGUCGAAUUUAAUCGAUACCGUGAUUAAGCGGUAAUCAGACAUAUUUUUGCAUUUACAUAUCAAGCAUUAGUAAUUUAAAUUAAUUUAUAUCAAUUUAGGGACAAUAUAGUAAAUUCCUUGACUUUGUUAUUUGUCAAGGUGGUGAGACGUCCGGAAAAGGCAAAGGAAUUGCGCCUGAGGGCUAUUAGUCCGAGUGCACCCGGAAUCUGGAUUUUUGAUACCGGUGAGUGGACUUGCAUUUCAAACUUGUUUUGGGAAAUAUGAAAGAUUCUAUCCAACUUGUCUUAGAAAAUGUACCUUGGGAACAAGCUUUUAGUAAAAUGAUUUUAUAUUGUGAAAAUGUGCUAUACAAUGGUUUAUGUGUUAUCACAAUAUGAUAAUAUGCAUUGGAUGCUUCUUUACAUGUUGAUUUGAACCCGGCUAUGUGCGAGUAGGAGUGCACAUAAGCCGUUGCUGACCCGACUAUGUGCGAGUAGGAGUGCAUAUAAGCCGUUGCUGACCCGGCUAUGUGUGAGUGGGAGUGCACAUAAGCCGUUGUUGCCCCCAUAGCUUAUAGGGCUGGAUGCUUCGUGAUCUUCCACCCUAUGAGUGCUUUGAUAGGUAUGAUCUGUGGCGAAGUAUGACUCUCCACCCAAGAGCUUGGAAGAGGAGGGAAGGGACUGCUCCGUUGCUUCGUGAUCCGGAGUGAAGUGCACCUCUUGCCGAGUGAAGGGGGGGAUGCUUCGUGAUCUCCCACCCCCUAGUGACAAUAGCAUAAGCCGUUGCAUAUGAGAUGAUGAUGAUGGGAUGAUGUGCAUGAUGAUGAUGAUGGGAUGGUGUGCAUGUUGAUGAUGGGUAUAUGGUUGUAAAUGCAAAUAUGUAAGCAUUUGUUUUGUUGAAAUUUGGAAGUUUACAUGUGUUACAUGUUGCUAUUGUUAUUUUAGCAGGAUGACUUGUUUUAAGGGAAAAAGGAGACUUUUUCCUUGAUGUUCUGGUUCUCGCUGCAGCGAGAAUGAAGUUCGCUACAGCGAGAAACUUUCUGUCCAUUUUGCUAACUUGUGGGUUUUUGCCAUAUUUCCCAUUUCUUUGGUACCAUAGUUGAGCAUGGAUUUUUGUAAAGUGAUUUACUCAUGUGGGAUUUACAUGAGGGGUUUAAAGAGCUAAAACAAUUGCAUGGUUUUGAGAAAACGAAUGCAUCAUGAUUUCAAUAAACAUUCCUUAUGGUAUGCUUGUUCCCUUCCUUGUUCACUCACUGAGUAUUGUACUCACGUUUUAUAAAAAUUCAUGUUUUCAGAUCAGGUGACUGUUGGACCCUAGAUCGAGGAGUCCCCGUAGUGCAUCUCCUGGGUAUGUGUCUGGCAUUCGAUAGUAAUCCCUUUUAUUGUAAAUGUCUCCGCUGGAAGUCAUGGGUCCUUUUGUAUUGUGAAUACAAUCUAACAAUGUGAAUAUGUGUAUGCAAUGUAAAUUGCUAAAUACAUGACUGGUAUAGUGCAUGUAUAUUAUUAUCGAUAAUGCCAUUGUGUUUUGGCUAUGUUCACACCCGAGAAAAGGUGUGUGUGUAUGCAUGAUAUGAUAAAUUUGUUAAGCAAAGGUAAAUGGAUAGGCUUGCUUGGGCUUAGUGAGCUAUGCUCAUUGAGCUCAUGUGCCGGUCAUUGCCCGGGAAAUUGGGUCGUGACAACUAAGAUUCAUUUGUCAAGCUAUAUAUGUACAUUAUGGUAGAUGAUGCCAUUAUGAAAGCAUAAUUGGGUUUUAUGAAUUGUUUUCAAAAGGACUAUUUGAACAUUAUGAAUCUUGGAUUUUAAAGGGACAUGAAUUACUGUAUAAGAUUAUACAAGAAGGCUUGCUUGGGCUUAGUGGGUUGAGCCCAUUAGGCCCAUGCGCCGAUCAUGGCCCAAAAAUUGGGCUGUGACAGGAAGAAGAAUCAAAUUGGUUUUUCUUUUCAUACAAUGAUCAAAGACAUCUGCAAGCAAACAAAAACUAAUAUUAAAACAAGAAAAAUAAAAUUUGAAGUAAGACUAAAUUGCUUGGUAUGAAUAUUAGUUAAAAUUCUAGAAACAAUUUCUCAACAACAGUGUCAAAAACUUGUUAGUUAAAUUUCUACCUACACAAGUAUACGCAUCAAAAAGAUAGUAUAACGGUAAGCAGAGUAUCAAUCCCAUAGUGAAUUGAUUUAAAAUUUUACUAAGUACUAAAAUUAGAACAAUUUAAUCUUAUCCAAAUAAUCAAAAUUAAUUAAUUGCUUAAAACAAAUUGACCAAAAUUUAAACUAAAAAGAAAAAUCAAAGUAACAAUAACUUGAGUAAAAAUCAAAUCAAACAAGCCUAAGAUUACAAUAUCCCUCACACUUCAUCUAAAUCUUACCUCUAUUCCUUAACUUAUUUCAAUAGGUUGAAUUGCUAACCUAAAGUCCUCAAUUAUUUAUAAAGGUCUCCUGACUCGUCUUAUAAAAACAUCUAUUUUAAUCAAAACACUAUAUUCUUAUGUGAAUUGAAAUUAAAACAGACUCAUUAAGUUCAAGCUCUAAUUUUGGCUACAUAUGGCAUAUGUGUAUAUCUUUAUCCUCUACACAAAUCAAUUACUAUGAUCAUAUGCUAUCCCAAUUUUAGUUUACAGUAAACUCCCUUUGUCACAACCCAAUUCUCGAGCCAUGAUUGGCGCAAGGACCCAAUAGGCAUAGCCCACUAGGCCCAAGCAAGCCUUUCAAUAUGCACUUGUAUAUUAACCCAUCUAUCUAGCAUAUUUCUUUAAUAUCUGUACUUAAUAGUGUUCAAAUGUCGAUUUCUCCAACAUAACUCAUAAAACCCAAGUGAAUGCUCACAUUAGUAUCAUAAUUCAAAUCAUACAUAAAUAGUUGUCAAUAUAUCUUUGCUAAUUCACACAAAACAUAUACAAAGACUUUGACCGUUAGCGGAGUGACUCUAGAUGGGGAGAUAUGACUACUGAGUGUCAAGAUACCUACCCAAGGGAUGGGGGUACGCGGACACCUCAAUCUACAUAUCAACCACCACUGAAUCUGAAAACAUGAAGUUGAAAGCGGUGAGCAUAAACUCAGUGAGUGAACAAGAAGGGAACAAGCAUACCAUAAGGAAUGUUUAUCAAAAACACGAUGCACUCAUUUUCUCAAAACAAUGCAAUUUGUUCUAGUUCUUAGUAUAACCCCUCAUGUAACCCUCAUGAGUAAAUCACUUAAAAGAUCCAUACUUAACUGUGGUACUAAAGAAUAAAAAAAUAUAGCAAAACCCACAAGUUAGCCAAAAUGGACAGAAAGUUUCUCGUUGUAGCAAGAACCAGAUCUGGUGAUGGCCCUCAAACUCGAGAGUUUCUCGCUGCACCGAGAGUUAGAACAUCAAGGAAAAAGUCUCAUUUUCCUUUAAAACAAGCCAUCCUGCUAAAAUAACAAUAGCAACAUGUAACAGAUGUAAACUCCCAAAUUUCAACAAAUCAAAUGCUCACAUAUUUACAUUUACAACCAUAUACCAUAUAUCUAUGUAUAUAUAUAUCAAUCAUCAUGUACACCCUCCCAUCAUCAUCAUCUCAUAUGCAAUGGCUUAUGCGUACUCCCACUCGCAUAUAGCCGGGUCAGCAACGGCUUAUGUGCACUCCCACUCACACAUAGUCGGGUCAGCAACAACUUAUGUGCACUCCCAUUCACUCAUAGCCGGGUCAGCAACGGCUUAUGUGCACUCCUACUUGCACAUAGCGGGGUCAACAAUGGCUUAUGUGCACUACUACUUGCACAUAGCCGGGUCCACAUCAACAUGCAAAGACGCAUCCAAUGCAUAUCGUGCAUUUUAUCAUAUUGUGAUAACACAUAAACCAUUGUAUAGCACAUUUUCACAAUAUAAAAUCAUUUUACUAAAAGCUUGUUCCCAAGGUACAUUUUCUAAGACAAGUUGGAUAGAAUCUUUCAUAUUCCCCAAAACAAGUUUGAAAUGCAAGUCCACUCACCUUACGAUAGCGAGAUGUUACAUCGUUAUUAGCUCAAAGGUGUAUCUAGCUAUUUCUACUUGUCGGGUGCUCGUUAUUCCCUCUGGCAUGCCACCACAGUACUCUAACCUUAUCUUUGCACUUCCUAACAAUAAUAUGAACUCAAUAUAUUUAAUUAUAUACGUAUAUGGGCAGCACUUCAAUCAAUUAAUCCUUACUCAAAUUUAUAUUUUUCAUCCUAUCAUGAAACCAUCUUCAACUAACUCACAUCUUAAUACUUUUUUACCAAACUUAUUUAUAUCCAUUGCUUACGAAAUUCCUUAAAUUAUAUCACCGGCAACUUAUUUAUGAUGUCAUGUGCCUACUUCAACCUUUCUCAAUAAUUUUCGCCCAAAUCCAUCUUAUAUUUCCACACAUAAUCCACAUAUAUGGCAGCAACAAUCAUUCUCACUUUCACUCGAUUAUUUCCUAGUUUACAUGCAUCGUUAUCUAUCUAACUUUCAAUACUUUGUUUCUCAAUCCUCCGUCCACAAUAUUCCUUUUUCAUUUCUUUCAAACAACAUGCCAUAAAAUCUUAAUAAUUUUCAACUAGCUUAGGCAAAUAAAUCCUUUCAACAACCAUAAUUCCUCACAAUAUUCAACUAACCGUAGGCUUUAAAACAUAGUGUUAAGCUUACCGUUUUCCUUUUCCACUUUGAGUCCUUCAUGUACUAAUGGGCUUAUUGGCUUACAUGUUACCAAUUUUUCUCCAAUCUUUGCUGCCACAAGACAUUUCUCUAAGUCACUAACUCAUUUUCAAAAACUACUCAAGCCAAAAACAAGAAUUCUUACUGUUCCUUGCUUGAAUCACCAAAACCAAGCUUUUUCUUCCUUUCUCUCUUUUUCUUUCUUCUUUUCCUUGAGUUUAUAUGUGCUGGAAAUUGGGGUUAGAAGUUGUAACAUUGGUGCACAAGAAGUUGGGAGAAGAAUGAAGCAAGAAGGGAAAAGAAAUGAAAAGAAAAUAAGGAAAAAAAAUGAAAAAAAAUUAGCUUUCCAUGGGAGAAUGAAAGAAUAGCGUUGGAAGCUUCAAGAAUGAAGAAUAAAAUAUCUUGCUAGGAGGAUAAGGACGGUUUUGGGCUGAUAAAGAUGAGAGUCAAAGCUUCCUUUGGAAGCUUUGACCAAACUUUAUGCAAAAUUAUCAUUUUACCCUUUAAGUUUCUUUCCAUUUUAAUUUAGUCCUCCCAACACUCGUUUAACUCCAAUUUCCUUUUAUUAUCUUCUUCUACAUAUGUACAAACAAAGUAUGAAGUUUGUACUCCAAUGCGGUGUCUUCAUAAUAUUUAAAAUAUUUAUUUGCCCGCGCUAUCUUUACUUAAUAAAGACAAGCGACCCCAUUCAUAUCAUUUUUAUCCAAAUUUCUCUCAUUCUUUUUCUUCCCCACUUAGAUUGACCAUAUACUCCUUUUUCAAGGAAAAUUUUGACAUUGAAUAAAUAUUAAUAUUUUAAUAUUAUUUUAUUAAUAAAAUAUUAUUUUAUUUCAAAAAUUUUCUCUUGUCUCCUCUUGUCCCCUUGGUACCCAAAAUACCUUAUUUGGCCUCAAUUGACUUCUGAAUCACUUUUUAUCUCACAAAUUCUUCUUCGAUAAAAAUAUCAUUAUUUUAUUAUUAUUUUCUCGUGUGUAGAAUAUUUUAUCCCAAACUAUUCCUUUCAUCUUUCAUCAUUUCUUAACAUCAUAAUUAACCUCAAUUGGCAUCCAAUAAGUUUUUAUUUGUCACCAUAUCAAAGUACGGUGUAUUAUACCCUUCCCCAAGUUUGUUUAGAUUCCUAUAUCAAUUUAAUUGGUGGCCAAUCAAUUGAAAAACAUUAAGAACAAAUUGCAAUAACAAUUCAAAUCCCAUUAAAGAUAAGCAAGAAAGAGAUUAAAAAUUUAGAUUACAUUUGAGUUCAAUGCAAUCCUAGAAAAAUAAAAUUAGCUACUCAUAAUUGCAAAGACAAAUAACAAUAUAUAAAUUUAAACCAUUAAGAGUAACAAGAAAAAUAAAAGUUACGAAAGAAAAGAAACAAUUAUUUGCAGCUUUGCUUUUCGAGUUUUUGCCUUAACUUUUUACUUCUUGAAUCUCUAAGGGUUGUCUACCUUAAUUUCUCCUAAAAAUAUCAUAUUUAUACUAACAAUCUAAACCUAAAAUUUCUUAAGUUAACCUACUAACUCUAACUUUUGGGCUUAAAAAUGUAAUAAGGCCCAAACAUCAAAUAUCAUCUUUAAAAUUGCCAUUCUCGCAGCAUUACGCCCUAUCAUCUUCUAAUAUGAUUUUCUCUAUCUUCGAGAUAGAACUAGGCAAAGUCAUCUGAUGAGAGUUGUAGCUCUAUCUCUUAGCUUUCCAACGAUGUAAAAAUCACAUUAUUUCAAGUUAUGAUCAUAGCACUAAAGUAUAUACGAGCAGAAUUCUAGGUCCUUCAAACACCGUACUUUUCAAAAUUAAGCCAUAUUCCCUUAAAUUCUACAAAAGCAUAAAAACUAAUAAAUAAUAGCCAAAUUAAAGUGAAUAAACAUAAAAUCAAAACAACUCACUAAAAUAAAAUAAUUAGAAAAACUACUAAAAAUAACUAAAUUAUAAUUAAAAAUUAAGGACUUAGCUAAUAUUUAAAAACAAAAUGAGAUUAAAAUAAUUCUAUAAAAUAGAAUUAUCAGCUUUUUCUCAAGUAUAUGGACUUUAACUUGUAAUUGAAAACUAGUAUGGAAAAUAGACUGUGAUGAAUAUGUAGUAUAGUGGUGAGUAUUCUCGCUUAUCAUGCAGAUGACUUGGGUUCAAUCCCCAACAAUGAUAUCAAAAACUUAUUGUCUAAUUUUCUACCCAUGCAAGUAUACGUAUUGAUCAGAUAAUUUAAUGGCAAGUAAAGUGUCGAUCCCACAAAGAAUUGAUCUAAAAUUUCACUAAUUACUAAAAUUAUAAUAAAAUUGGAUAAAAAUCAACCCAAACAAGCCUAGGAUUAUAAUAUUUCUCACUCUUCAUCUAAAUCUUACUUCUCUCUCUUAACUUAUUCCAAUCGGUUGAAUUGCUAACCUAAAGUCCUCAAUUAUUUAUAAGGCUAUCUUGAAACUCCUAUAAAAAUCUAUUUUAAUCAAAAUACUAUAUCUCUAUUUAUAUUGAAAUUAAAACAGACUCAUUAAGUUCAAGCUUUAAUAUCGGCUACAUACGGCAUAUAGGUAUAUCUCUAUCCUAAAAACAAAUAAAUAUGAUCAUAUACUAUUCUAACCUUGACCUACACUAAACUCCCUUUCUCAAGUUAUGUUUAAGUUUCUAAAUCAAUGUAAUUGAUGAUCAAACAAUUAAAAGCAUUAAGAACAAAUUGAAAUAAAUAAUUCAAUUCCAUUGGAAAUAAACAAGAAAGAGAUUAAAAAUUUGAACUACAUGUGAAUUUAAUUACAAUCUUAAAGAAAAAAAAUUAACUACUCAUAGUGAAAAUAAAGAAUAUAAAACAAUGAAAUUUAAUGAUCUCAAACAAAAGAAACAAGAAAACUAGAGAGCAAAAAAAAAAACUAGAGAUUAGUGAUCUUCAAUCUUACUCAUAAUGAAAAUAAAGAAUAUAAAACAAUGAAAUUUAACGAUCUCAAACAAAAGAAACAAGGAAACUAGAGAGAGAAAAAAAACUAGAGAUUAGUGAUCUUCAAUCUUCCAUGGUUGAUCUUGUUUUUCUUCUUGAGUUUUUGAUGGCUAAUCUCCUCCUAAAAUAACCCAAAACUGAUUUCCUCUAGCCUCCCCUUCAAUUUGGCUUCAUAAGGAUGUAUUUAUAAGGCUCACAAACAUAAUUUCAAUCCUAAUUCGAACUCCCAUCUUUGCAAAGGUGUCUUUACAAACCCGAGGUGCCACGGUGCUGGCUUUCUAGAGUCAUGGCAUUGACUUGCCAUGCAUUUUUCUCCUUCUUCAAAGUAAAACUGGUCAAAGUGGUUAAAAAUGAAAGUUGUAAAAGUCCUUCAAAGCAUACCUUUAGAGGCACAACUUAAUCAUUAACAGGCUUUCUUAAUUAAUUUAACUUUUAACUUAGCCUAAAAUAAUCUAAAUUUAAUUGACCCAACAUAAUUAACUAUAAUUAAAUAAAUAACUGCAAACACCUAAAAUCUAUACUAAAACUCAAGAACCUAGCAACUUGAUAGCUAAAAUUAAGACCAAAUAACUCUAUAUCUUAGGGUUGUCACUAGUGACAGUAAACAUUAACCAUUGUGCACAAUGCUUUGUAUCCUCAGAAUCGAUGGCUAUACGCUGGGACACCUUUGUUAUUCAGUCAAUGGCUAUAUGCCCGAGACUUAUUUAUUUAUUAGUUCCUAUUAAUUAGUGCUCCAUGAAUCAUUUAAUGAUUAUUUGACAUAAUAUGUAUAUUUUUGGAUACGAUCCUAUCCCUUUUGAUAUAAAGGAUUUUGGGCUUGUUUGAGGUCCUAGAAUGUAUCAAUAGAUGCCCUUCAGAGGUCUUCAGAUUUGCAUUUUGUUUAAAAUCUAUCAAUACAACCGAGCAAUGUAUCCAUAGAUUGGGCUUAUUUUUUAAAUCUUACAGUUUUUAAAGAACUUUUCAAAUAUAACUUGUCACGACCCGGAACUCCCCAUCGGGCCUGUGACAACCGCCGCGAAGUCUCGACAGACAUUCUUCACCCCGAAUGUCGAUCGAAACCUCGCAAGGCUCUCGUAUCAGCUUUCGCACUUCCCCGAUGAGCAAUAGUUAUCAAAUAUCAUAAUUCGAAGAAUUACGAAUCAUUUCCAAAUCAGAACAUAACAUAUUGUUUUCUGGCUCACAGAGGCAUUUUCGUCAUUUUGUUUUGAAAAUCUCAAAACUUACUAAAAAUGUAGUAGGUAGGCAAAAAAUAUAUAUUUAAUGAUUUAAAAACAAAUUAAGUAUUUAAAACGUUCAUUUGAAGUGAAAAUUUGACCAUUUGAAUAUAAUAAAAAUAUUCAAUAAAAUAAACUAUUUUCUUGUAAAAAAAAUUUUAUAAAGCUAUCGGUACAUAAUUCUUAUAGCGUAAAAGUUAAUUAUAGUCAUAUAUACUAUAAAGCAAAUAACCAAAGCAUAAAAUUUCUUUUACAGUGACAUGUGGGCCCACAUUUAACCAAAAUGCAUCGGAAGCUGGAAACCUACAGCUUUUACCGAUUCGAGUCCAAAUGAAGGUCCUUGUCAAAGUCAGCUAACUAUGGAAUUUCCUGAGCCUAAAAUGUGAGGAAAUGAGGGUGGUGAGAUUGUAAAAUCCCAGUGAGUAAACAGAUACCAUCUAAACUAUCUAAAGUCGAGUAAAUUGACACAAUUAAAAUAAGUCAUCAUACUGUAAUUUCAUUACCUUUCAACCAAAUAAAAUCAAUCCAUAUAAAUCGACUAAUCAACUUGGCUUAUGAAUUUGUUAAAACUUUGGCUCGUGCCAAAACUCAUACUCGGUGAUACCUUGCACAGGGCAUCCUACCGAGUCCGCCAAGGCUGUUAAAAUUUUGUAUAUACGUAAAACAUAUCUUUAGUUUGAAAAAUACAACCAUUCCUUGGCGUUGGCUAAGUUCCCCUUCACGUGGUGGUUUAGCUUGAAGUGAACCCUAAGCUUUACCCCAAGAGAAACCCUACGCGCCUCUCUGUUCGAGGUAAGAAUAUAAUGGGGUUUACCGUGUCCCUCUAAAAGGCUAGUCCAUAGAAACCCCCUACUGCGGUGAUUAAUUAAUAUAUAAUCCACCAAUUCAAUAAAAUUCAAUAAUAUGAUAUGGCAAUUUAUCGCAACCUAGCCUCUAAAGGUUGAAUACACAGUACAAAUAAUUCUAACACCAAAAUCAGUUUAGUCAUUCAUGCUCAUAUAUUGUCAUAAGCCAUUCAAUUUAAAACCAUAAAUUUUCAACACAAGCAGGCAGUCUCCAAUUACUCUAUUUUCAAAACCAGUAGUCGAUUUUUUAGAAAAUUUAUAAAAUCACAAUCUCUCCUAAAACAUAGCAAUUUACCAUUUAAACCCUUUUUGUAUAAAAUCACACAAUUGUAUAAAACUACUCUAGAUAAUUAAGACAAUAAUAAGUUCACUUACAGUUCUAAGAGUCGAUAUACUCCUAACCCCAGUCUUCAAGCACAAUCUCUGUACUUUUACCAGUGUAAUUUGCUCACCACCUAUCAACAAUGUACAAUACAUAAUUCACCACAUUAAUGCUUGACCAUUAUAAAAUCAAUUCAGGCUCGGUAUAUAUGCAUGAUAUGAUAUACAACUUAUCCGACUACCGCUUAAAUGCGGUGCUGACCUAAUUCGACCUAUUAUCUCCAAUUUAACUCCAAAUCAAUUCUUCUCACUUUCUACACUCCAAUUAUACUUAAAUUACCUUAGUGACUGUGAAUGAGUUUCAAUUUAUCAGUCCCGAUAGCAAAUUAUGAAAAUACCCCUAGUGGGUAAAAAUUCAUAUUUUUACUCCGAAAAUUUCCAUUAUUUUUCUAGGCUCAUAAUUCAUCAUUAUUCAUCAUAAUUCCUCAAAUAAACAUCAAGAUCAGCAGCCAAUAUUCCCCUAGAAAAUUUGGCAUAAUGGGUUUCAAUGGGAGAAAAUUAUUUAUCUAGCUUAAUUUUGCUAUAUUACAAUAUAACCUAACUAAAAUCACUUAAUUCAAUUAAAAUCAACCAAAACUCAAGCUCAAAACUCAUUCAUGGAGGUUUGGCCAGCAUGGGUGUCCAUACCCACUUUCUAAUUUUGCAUGGAAAUGAGAAAAAAAUGCAUGGGUAGUGAAAAUCACAAGGAAAAUCAAUGAAAUUUACAUUUUUAAUGCUUCAUUUCUUGAUUUCUCUUGAUUUUUCCCAAAUUUUUCAGGUAGGGUUCUUAUUUGUUUUUUCCCCCUUUUCUCUCCUGAUUUGGACGGCUGGAGAAGAUGAGAAUUCUGGAAUUUUGACCUUUUUAAUGGCUAAAAUAAUAUAAUAUUUUUUAUUUAUUUUUUUAAUGUUUUAUUAAUUCCUUAAAUUCUAGCCAUCCAAUUGUUUCCAAAUUUUCACCAUACACUUGUCCCACAUAUCCAUAGCUUAGAUAAAAUUCUCAGACUUAUCCAAAGUCUUGGUGGAGUAAUUUUUGAAAUUUACACUUUUGCCCUCGUAAAAGUCAAAAAUUACAUUUUUGCCCCAAAAACUAAAAAAUUACCCAUAGAUAUAUUUUUCAUCCCUUAUACUCAUACCAUUCGCCAAUUUGUUAAAUUUGAUCUAAAUUCUCUCAAAAUCUCAAAUUUUGUCCGCGGGUGGUAAAAUUACCAUUUUACCCCUACACUCCAAAAAUCACCGAAAUUAAACUUUUUCACUGCCAAACCCUCAAAUUAUACUCCAAUAAGUCAAAUGGGGGCCAAAAAUCUUUUCUAAAAAUUACCAUUUUAUCCCCAGGUGGUAAAUGACCAUUUUGCCCCUAGAUAGUGAAAAUUUCGGUUUGACUCCAAAUUGAUCCUCGAACUCCGAAUCACCAUAUUAAACCAUUCUGGGACUUUAAAAUUCUUAAUUUCAUCGCAAAUUCUCUAUUUGAUCUAGUUCGAGGCUUAAAUCAACUUUGUUGUACCUCUACGUACAAUACCGACUUUUGUAAAUUUUUCGGGACUUUCCUAGCAUGCAAACAUACUAUCCAUCACCUGUAUGUCAUGAGAAAUAUUUUUAUAGAGUCGGGCUUGUCAUCUUCUCCCCAACUUGGAUCAACCAUAUGAUCCUUCUUCAUGACUGAUUUCGACAUCCGGCUAAAUAUUAAUAUUUUAAUAUUAUUUCAUUAAUAAAAUAUUAUUUUAUUUUAAAAAUUUUAUCUUGUCUCCUUGGUACCCAAAAUACCUUAUUAUGCCUCACUUGACUUCCGAUUUGCUUUUUAGCACUUUUAAAUAUUUUAAUUAACCUCAAUUUGCAUCCGAUCAACUUUAUUUAUCACCAUAUCAAAGUAUGGGGUAUUUCAAUCUCCCCCACUUAAAUAGAAUUCGUCCUCGAAUCCCGCGGAUGUUGCAUUAUUAAUCUCCUUCUAUGAUCCUACUCCUUGUUCCUUCUAUGGGGACAUUCAAUUUAUUUACCUCGUUCACCUUCAGUUCAAUUAUGCUUUUAUUUAUGGCAAUUAUCAUCCUUUGGAACCGGAUCAGUAAUACUUUUCACAAUCAUGAUCUCGUAUAUCGAGACACUAAGCAUGCCUUUAUCACCAUUAUUAAAUUUGAACCAUAACUUCAUCUCAAUUAUACCGAUUUUGAUCACAUAUCAUACUUACUUAUGUAUACUUAAUCAUCAUUUUAUUAAUUUGCUCCGUACCAAAUUUCUCAUCCUUAAUUCAUUCAUCUUAUACUAGUCCAUACCCUUCCUUUAAUAGGGUUCCAUUAAGAACUUAAACAAUCCAAGGUUUACCUUCAAAGUCAUUCAUAACUUUAAUUGUUCAUUACAUGUUCGUUAACACUUUAGCUCACUGACCUCUCUAGACACUAUUUCAAAAUCUCCCAAUUACUGAGAACCAUUCUUCACUUUAGUUAGUAAAAUUAUCAAUUUCAUAUAUACAUAUAUACAUGCAUUUUCAAAUGUCAACCUCUCUCUUUAUGUAUAGGAAUCCAUGUGUUCACAUGCCUUGGUCUACAUUCCCCCUUUAUUCAUCCGUAUCCCAAUCCUAGUUUCAAUAUAAUAAUUCUUAUAGUGCAUGUCAACCUUCUUAUUAUACUUGUGUAUAACUUCAUAUCAUUCAUAUCAUUUCCAACCAUAUGUUUGAGUUUCCUUAUACUAUAUAUCAUUCAUCACAAUGUCAUCUCCAUUGAAUUAUAAUCUAUUAUGCGUGUAUGCUUUAUAAUCCUAUUGAUGCCUCAAAGAUUUAUCUUAACUUGAUCAUUGCAUCUCAUGCAAUACCACAAUUCCUAAGAGUCAUCCUUUUGUCCUUAAUCAUCUUUCAUGCCUCUAUAUUACCUUGUAUCUUUCUUGCAUUACGAUAUUGAUUUGUCACUUAAGACUCGAACCCAUUUGAAUCAUGUAUGCCUUAAGCAUUUUCGAAUUCCAAUUUCCAUAAUAUAUUAGGAAAGUUUCAUUAUCUGACUUCAUUUUCAAGGUCAACUUCUAUCAUCCUUUGUUCCACUCCUUCAUAUGAACAUAACAUCAUUCUUCCUUAACUAAUUUAUAAAUUGUACUUGAAAUUGUAAAACUUAAAACUAGAUUCUCCUCAAGUAUUUUUCAAUACUAAUACUAAUAUCACUCUCAGCUUACAGCUUCCUUUUUAUAAUCACAUAACUUAGUGCUUGCUUUAACGAGAUCCAGAGCAAAACUUCUCUUGAGUAUUUCCUUGGGAAUAUCUAUCUUAAACUUAUGUCUCACAGCAUGUGAUCCCUUAACUUGUGAUUUAGCCGUUAGGCUUCUCAGCAAGUUUUAAAAAUUUUAUGUUUCAUAUUUGCUGUGUAUGAUUAGAAUCUCUUCUCAAAGAUGUUUAUGUAUUCCUAAAACACUUAAUCUUAAAGAUAUAUAAAUACGUACUCAUCCAUUCAAUCCCUAACUCAUCUUCAUAGGUUUCUAAGGUGUCACACAAUUAGCCUCAUGUUGUUACUAACCCUUGUCAUUUUACUGUAUCAAAACAGAUAUUACAAAUUCUCGUAAUGAUAUUCUAUAUAAACUGAUUUUCUAUACUAGUAUCGUAAUUCUUCCUUUACACUUUCAUUACUUGGUAUCUCAUCUCUAUAUAGUCAUCCCAAGAAUUUUUCAAUUUUUCUUUUAGUUAUAUGCCCAUAUACAAGGCAAUAAAGAAGUUUUUCAAUUCAUUUGGGUAAACAUUCUCCAGAAUAUUUACAACGCCCAGAUAACAAAACACAAUGACCAAUAACCAAAAUUCAAUUUGUAAGCUCAUUAUCGUGUCACUCCCAUCUUACUCAUGCAUCAUAGGCGUGAGGUAUUCGGAGCAUUACAACGUUGAACAGUCAAUGCUGAAGUGCUGUAGCUAUUGGAAAUUUUCUUCAUCAAAACUAUUUGUCUGCAUUCAAAGUCACCACAUCAAUCAUUCUCAACCAGUGGGUUUCCUUUCUAGACAUAUAUCAUGAGUUCCAUAAGUAUAGGUACCUUCUAUUUUUUUGUCAUACGCACUAAGCUAGAUUAAUACUUUCAUCUCAUAUCAUCUUUUGACUUUUAUCAACAUUCAUAAAAUUCCACCUCAAAACAUCCUUUCCAUACAGUGUAAUAAAUUCAUGAUACAUAUACCACUCCACACAUAAGUUGCUUACUAUCUACAACUUUUCACAAAUUUAUUGUCAUCCCAAUCCAGUUAUCUUCCUUGUCUCGUACUCCAUUAAUUUUAUUGACUUUCGAUAUAGUUAAUUACGAAAACAACUCAGCUUCCUCUUCACUUUAUUCCUGCAAUUCUUACUAAAUCGAAACUUGAUAUUCCCUAUAUUCCAUAAUUUAACUUCAUUGGGUUAUAUUUGUGCCAAAUUAUUUCCUCAUAGUGUCAUGGCAUCACUGAAUAAUCCCCUUCAUGCUUAAAUUACUAUCAUUAACUUAAUCACAUUAUCUGUUUCGAAUGUCAUUUACAGCCUUAUUGCUUCCUUCCAUAACCUUCCUCAACAAUUAUAUCACCAAUUUAUCCCUGUUAUACUAAAAGAUUCCCAUGCAUAUCCAAUUAUUUAAACAGCUAUUUUACAUUCCGUUCGAGUCAUACAAAAUAAAAGCCACUCCUAACUCCUUUAUACAAGUAACUACUACAUUUUCUCUUAAACGACACUUGCCUAGAUUUAUGACAAUACAACUUCAACUAAAGCAUUAAACAUCUUUAGGUUCCUCAUUGUCCUGAUCCGGGCACAUCAAUGGAUCCUCUUCCUCUUGAGAUUUUCUCUUUUGUUCUUCAAUCUAGGCUUGUUGUAUUCUCUUACGUUCCUCAUCACUUAUCGGUGCAGCAUUUCUUCCACAAUCGGGAGGAAAAUGUCGUACACCUAACACCUUUCUAAGGGGUCUACUUGCCACUGUUACUUUUUCCUUAUUCUUUUCUAGUUGUCCCCUUACAUUUCUCCCACAACCUGGUGGAAAGUGUCGGACUACUGUCACGCUCUUCCUAGAACGAAUAUAUCCCCUUGCAAUUUCUUCCCUCGUCCAUUCUCUAUAGUGCUCUCUAGGUUGUUCCGAAAGGAAAUCUUGUUCAAUUUUCGGUGUAUUGGAGCUAUUCUCACUUUCAAAAUUCUCGCUACUUUUGAAGCUCCCUUUAUUAUGAACCCAUUCUGAUAAGUUCUUAGGAAUUCUAUUAUCAGGAAUUUGGGAUGGACCACCUUCCAAAUCACCUGUAUCAGGGCGCCAUUUGCUUCUAGUCGUAGAAUCUAGAGAUCCCUCGCUAGCAUUAUGAAGGGUAUCGGGUCUACUACUUCUUCUAGACAUAGUGUGUAUGUCACCCGUGCACCUCACAACCUAUACACGACCAAGUAGUAAUUACUUAAUUCUUUACACAUUGCAAGAGUAGGUAGGUUUCUAUAUAUAGAUGUACGCAUUCUAUUCAAUAUAUCCUAACUUAACUUAUGGCCACACUGACACUGUAAAUUUUUAAAACAACUUUAAAACAACUUUAAACCCAAAAGCUCUGAUCUUUAAAACCAAAAGCUCUGAUACUAAUAUAAAUUGUUACGAUCCGGAACUCCCCAUCAGGCCCGUGAUAAUCGCCUCGACGCCUCGACAGACAUUCUUCACCCCGAAUGUCGAUCGAAACCUCGCAAGGCUCUCGUAUCAGCUUUCGCACUUCCUCGGUGAGCAAUAGUUAUCAAAUAUCAUAAUUCGAAGAAUUACGAAUCAUUUCCAAAUCAGAACAUAACAUAUUGUUAUGUUAUUUUUGCUCCGAAAAUUCGUAUUUUUGCUCCGAAAAUUCUCAUUAUUUUUCUAGGCUCAUAAUUCAUCAUUAUUCAUCAUAAUUCCUCAAAUAAACAUCAAGAUCAGCAGCCAAUAUUCCCCUAGAAAAUUUGGCAUAAUGGGUUUCCAUGGGAGAAAAUUAUUUAUCUAGCUUAUUUUUGCUAUAUUACAAUAUAACCUAACUAAAAUCACUUAAUUCAAUUAAAAUCAACCAAAACUCAAGCUCAAAACUCAUCCAUGGAGGUUUGGCCAGCAUGGGUGUCCAUACCCACUUUCUAAUUUUGCACGAAAAUGAGAAAAAAAUACAUGGGUAGUGAAAAUCACAAGGAAAAUCAAUGAAAUUUACCUUUUUAAUGCUUGAUUUCUUGAUUUCUCUUGAUUUUUUCCAAAUUUUUCAGGUAGGGUUCUUAUUUGUUUUUUCCCCCUUUUCUCUCCUGGUUUGGACGGCUGAAGAAGAUGAGAAUUCUGGAAUUUUGACCUUUUUAAUGGCUAAAAUAAUAUAAUAUUAUUUUAUUCAUUUUUUUAAUGUUUUGUUAAUUCCUUAAAUUCUAGCCAUCCAAUUGUUUCCAAAUUUUCACUAUACACUUGUCCCACAUAUCCAUAACUUAGAUAAAAUUCUCAGACUUAUCCAAAGUCUUGGAGGAGUAAUUUUUGAAAUUUACACUUUUGCCCCCGUAAAGUUAAAAAUUACAUUUUUGCCCCAAAAACUAAAAAAUUGCCCAUAGACAUAUUUUUCAUCCCUUAUACUCAUAGCAUUCUCCAAUUUGUCAAAUUUGAUCUAAAUUCUCUCAAAAUCUCAAAUUUUGUCCGCGGGUGGUAAAAUUACGAUUUUACCCUUACACUCCAAAAAUCACCGAAAUUAAACUUUUUCAUUGCCAAACCCUCAAAUUAUACUCCAAUAAGUCAAAUGGGGGCCAAAAAUCUUUUCUAAAAAUUCUCAUUUUGUCCCCAGGUGGCGAAUGACCAUUUUGCCCCAAGAUAGCGAAAAUUCCAGUUUGACUCCAAAUUGAUCCUCGAACUCCGAAUCACCAUAUUAAACCGUUCUGGGACUUUAAAAUUCUUAAUUUCAUCACAAAUUCUCUAUUUGAUCUAGUUCGAGGCUUAAAUCAACUUUGUUGUACCUCUAGGUACAAUACCGACUUUUGUAAAUUUUUCAAGACUCUCCUAGCAUGCAAACUUGCUAUCCAUCACCUGUAUGUCAUGACAAAUAUUUUUAUAGAGUUGGGUUUGUCAUCUUCUCCCCCACUUGGAUCAACCAUAUGAUCCUUCUUCAGGACUGAUUUCGACAUCCGGCUAAAUAUUAAUAUUUUAAUAUUAUUUCAUUAAUAAAAUAUUAUUUUAUUCUAAAAAUUUUAUCUUGUCUCCUUGGUACCCAAAAUACCUUAUUAUGCCUCACUUGACUUCCGAUUCGCCUUUUAUCACUUUUAAACAUUUUAAUUAACCUCAAUUUACAUCCGAUCAACUUUAUUUAUCACCAUAUCAAAGUAUGGGGUAUUUCAUAACUGGACUUGUUUUCAAAACUAAACUUUUUAAACACCUUGUUUUCCAUUUCAAGCACUUAUAAGUUUAUUUUAAACAUUCGUUUUCAAAUGAAAUACUUCGAUUGAAUUAUAAAUAUUCAAUUUCAUUUCAAAGGCUCAUAAAUUAUUUACAAACUCUUGUUUUGUUUGAAGCACUUUGAAAACAAUUUGAUUAUGCUUGGGAAGCAAACUUUGAAAUUCUUUGGAUAUUUAAUUACGCUUGAGAAGCGAACUUUGAACUCCUUCGAAUAUUUGAAUACAUUUGGAAAAUGGACUUUAGAAUUUGCUAGAAUGUUAACUCAAAUAGAAUAACUUAAAAAUGUGGGUGAAUUGAAGGUCUAAAAAUAUUUGUGAGUUUAAGACUCAAAAGCCUUGCUUUAAUGAAGAAUCUUUUUCUCUAAAAGCUUUUGCAAGAAGAAAAAUAUUUUCAAGGACUUUGCUUUUCAAAAAUAAAUAUAGAUGAAGAGUGAAUAGCUUAAUGCACUUGGUUUAUAGAGCUUCGACCUCUUUAGAUACAUCUUUUCCUUUAAAUCACUAAAGAGUUUAGAAUUCACUAUUCAAAAUAUGUUUUCAAAGACAAAACAUAACCCUCACAAUAGUCUUUUCAACGCUGAGACUUAACCCUUCUACAUUUUCACUUGGAUAAGGUAUAACUAUUCACAAAUAAUUCCUUUUAAAGGUUAAGGAGUAACCUUUACAACUUCAUACAAAGAUUAUGAAAAGGAAGCUCAAAUGCCUUUAGAAGGUUAACAACAACAGUGAGUACAAGGUAAGUCAAGGAAUAUUGCAAGAGAAUAGUGAAAGUCAAAGCACUAAGUGUGACACAAUGAUAAGCUAUAAAGGUGAAAUAGAGAAUUUGAGGAUUUCAAGGUUGAUUCUUUGUUCUUUUCUCAAAGAAUGUUUUUUUGUGCUUUCUCUUUUGUCAAAUCAAGUUGGAAAGUUGUAUAUAUGCUUAAGGAAACCUUGGAAGUAGUUCCUCAACUUUUGUACUCGAAAUAGUCAUUACUUUUGUCUUUUUUGCACUUGUCUGGCAUGAGAUGUCGAUACUUUGUCUCUUAGGCUUCUUGGGUAUCAAUACUUUUCUUUGAGGUAUCAAUACUUCCAACACAAAUUGCUCUCUAUUCGAAAUGUAUUGAUCCGUCUCAUUUGGGUAUCGAUAGUUCUAAAGUUAACUUAUGAUCUUUGACUUCUUGUGUCACGACCUAAACUUUGGGCCAUGACUGGUGCAUGGGCCCAAUAGACGUAGCCCACCAAGCCCAAGCAAGCCUAUUAAUAUGACCUGUUCAUCAUUCCAUCAAAAAUUGCUAAGUCACAUUUCAUAACUUCGAAUCAAAUUAAUAUGAAGCAUUGCCAACUUGUAGUGGCAUUACCAAUCAAGUAUACAUGUAUUGUCUAAAACAUAUGUCUUAAUAAUUUACAUCAGGUUUAUCUAUACAUAUCAAAAAAGGAGACUCGAUUUCCAGCGGAGAAACCCGAGUGACGUACGGCUAUUGAAUGCCGAGAUACUUACCAAGGAAACGAAUCUACAAGGGCACCUCGACCUAGGUACUAGUUGCCUCUUGAUCUGAAAACAUGAAGUUGAAAACGGUGAGUAUAAACCUAGUGAGUGAACAUAAAAAGGGAACAAGCAAACGAGAAGGAAAGUUUAAAGAACUCAUGAUGCAUUUAUUUUCAAAACAAUGUUAUUUAGUUUCAUUCUUAUUAAAACCCCUCAUGUAAACCCCACAUGAGUAAAUCACUUGAUGAAAAGGGUCCAUGCUCAACAAAGGAUUUGGAGAGGGAAAACUUUAAUAGCAUUCAUGCAAAUCAAGUCAAAUAAAUGACGAGUCCUCGCUACAGUGGAAAGGCAUUCAAUUUCGCUGCAGUGAGAAACUCUCGAGUUGUGAUGGUUUUUAUUGGACUUAGUUCUUGCUACAGAGAGAAAGCUACUGUAGCUUCUCGCUGUAGCGAGAUUCUUUCUCGUUGUAGUGAAAUUUGACUGGCCAAAUAGAGAGUUUCUCAUUGCAGCGAAAAUCAUUCUCUCUGCAGUGAGAAGCUAUAGUAACUUUCUCGCUACAACGAGAACCAGGUCCAGUAAAAACCCUCACAACACGAGAGUUUCUCACUGCAGCGAAAUUGAAUCUCGCUGCAGCGAGAAACAGAGCAACAAGAAAUAGUUUCCAUUCCCCUCAGGGAAAGGCCAUCCUGCUAAAAUGAUAAAAGCAACAUGAAACACAUAUAAAUUCCCAAAAUUCAACAUGUCAAAUUUUCACAUGCAUUACAACCAUACACCAUAUAUGUAUAUAUAUAUAUAUAUAUAUAUAUAUAUAUCAAUCAUCAUGCACACCCUCCUAUCAUCAUCAGCUCAUAUGCACUCCCACUAUCACAUGGCUGGGUUAGCAUCGGCUUAUAAGCACUCCCACUCGCACAUAGUCCGGUCAGCAUCGACUUAUGCACACUCCUACUUGCACAUAGUCGGGUCAAUAUCAUUACACAACAUUAUUCGUAUAUAUAUAUAUAUAUAUCAACAUAGUAUAGGAGCACACAGGUCCGUCCUUUUACACAUUUCACAUUUUAGCAACAUCAAGACAUUUAUCAAGGGCUUGUUCCCCCGGCAUACAUUUUGAAAGAAAAGUUGGUUAAAAUCAUUCAAAUGUUUUGUGCAAAUACAUUCACAUUCCCAAAACAAAUUUUGAAAUGCAAGUUCACUCACCGGUAUUUUGUUUAACCUCUAGUCAGCUCUAACUUCCCUAAUGGUCCAAUUGGGGUUGAGGGGCCUCGUUGGAACUUAUCACACACUAAAAACAUCACAGCCAAUCCAAUACAUUAAUAUUGCUCUAAAGCUAUUUUCCAAGUCAAGCUUCAAUAGCCCUUCCUAUCUACCACUAAAUGGCUAUUAUUUAUUCUACUCUAGUCACACUAAGUAUGAUUAAUCAAUCUCAACAAUAAAACACUCACAAGUCAAAUUACUAGACAAUAUCAAUAACUAAAAUAUGAACUCAAUUUCACCACUCACCUUGCUAGAUUUGUAAUUGGAUUCCUCCUCAAGAAUUCCCAAACUAUUAUAAAAAGUCUUUUUUUCUCUCUCUAAAACACCUAACUAGUGAGAGAAAGUAUGGGUUUAAGACUUUGGAGGGUUUUUAAGGUGAGAGAGUGAAAGAAUACAAGGGUUCUAUGCAAAAGUGCACAAAAGCUUGAAAUUUAGAGUUAUUUUGAGGAAGGUUUUAGAACUUUCAUAUCAAGCUUUCAUGGAAGAUGAAAGCAACGUGAAAGAGAAGAAGAAGCUGCUAGAAAAUGGGAGAAUAAGCUAUUGGAAGAAAGAGAUAUUUAUAGCCCAAGUUUAUCCACUCCACUUAAAUUACCAAAAUGCCUUCACAAGUUAACUUGUUCUCCUCCAAUCCUUUAUGCAAUCUUUUUACUCUUUUGACACUAGGACAAGGUCCAUAAUGGUCUAGAAAUACUCAAGUUCAUGAAACUUAAAAAUUUUGACCCUAGAUGAAAAAUGAUCAUUUUGCCCCUACCUCGAGAAUCAUCAUUAUUUUUAUUUCCUUCACCAUUUUACUCGUAUUUCAUCAUUCAUUUAUGCCUUAGGCCUACUUAGGCCUUAAUAUUGUUUAAAACUUACUUUUAAGGGCUUACUAAGAAAAUGACGAAACUACCCCUAGCUCGUGUUAUUGCGUCUAUGCCUAGUUACGAGCCUAUAGAGGUCGAGGUCUCACAUCUUGUCUAGUAAAGGUAUCGAGACUUGUAGGUUAGUAUCGAUACUUUAUGCAUGACAUAAAUGAGGUAUUGAUACUUUACCUUUAGGUAUCGAUACUUUUUAGAUAUAAUGGUUUCUGUCCAAAAAGUAUCGAUACUUAGUAAUAAGAUAUCGAUAUUUUUGAAACAAAAUGCUCUCUGUUCAAAAUGUAUCAAUACUUUAGUGCCAAGUAUCGAUACUCUUGACUUAGAAUGCAUGGUUUUAAGCCUUUUAAGCAUUAAAGCAUGUCCAAACACUUAGCCAUUUUUCUUGAAGGUCCAUGGAGACUUAGAAUGAAUUUUAAGAACUUAAUUUUAAAAUUUUGAUCAUUUGUUUAAGUCAUUUCAAAUAUAAGAUCAAUUGUUAAAGCUAACAAUCUCUUCUUUUUUGAUAUGGCAAAACCAAUGAGCAAAUUUGUCAAAAACUUUUUGAAAAACACCCCCUGAAUUUUUGUGUUGAAGCUUUGUUGAUUUUUUAAAGUAAAGUUCUAAAAAUUUCCCCCGCCCCCCAACUUUAUGUUAAGUUCAGAAAAAUGAUUUUUUGUUCAAAUUUCAUUUAAAUGCUAUGUCAAAGCUCAAGAUUUCAUUUAAUAUGUGCAAAUUUUCUCAAUACUUCUCUCUUUUUUUGUAAUAUAAAAAAAAUGUCAUUUCAAAAUCAUGUUUCAAUUGUUAAAGUAUUAAAAUGAUAUGACAUGUAAUGCACAAGUGGAGAAAUAUAACCAAAUAAAAUAACAUUUGAAACACUUGAAAGAGAUUGGUAUGGAGAUUAGAAAUAGAACCAUAUAUACAUUAAUGGAAACACAACCAAGUAGAUUACAUGUGGCACAUAUGGCUAUAGACAAUAUCCAAAAUAUAAGCAUCCAAGAUAAUCAAAUCCAUAAAGAAUAGUCAAAUACCAAAAUAUCCAAAAUAGCCAAAUAUCUAAGCAUCCAAAGAUGUACAACCAAAAAUAAAAUAGUCUAUGAUAUGAUCAUGAGUAGAAUGCAAGAGAAGAUGCUAGCUAGCCAAUAAAAGAAUGAUCGUAAGACAUAAACAUAAUUGGCAUGUCUCUUACAAGCUCAAGAUGGUGGUAGUGAGGUAGUAAGGAAGGCGGUGCCGGUGUCGGAAGUGGAUGUAGAUGCUAGAGCUGUAGGAUUUGGUGAAUUCCAGAGCGGUGGACAGUGGGGAAGUUGGUGGAGGAAUAAAUGAGAAACUCUCCAAAUGUACUAGCUAGGAGUCCAGGCUAGUCAUCUAUGCCAUCAGCCCCACAUCCAUCGUUACAUGUACCUAAAGAGAUUAUUAAGCAUUUGUUCUAUGGAAGAUGUAAAAGGUACACUAGUACUAGGAAUGGCACUAUGGUCUUCGGGAGGGGCAACCUCACUAGGUUCAUUGGGCUCAUCAUCAUUGCCCUCAACACUAUCUACUUGCCUAAUCUAUACUCCAUCCUUACACUCAUAUCCAAACUUAUUGAUAAUGUGACUAUCAAUUUUUGUGUGCAUCGAGUGAGCCUUGGGUGGAUCAACUCUUGUAUUUAAGGCAUGGAAGUCAAUGAUUUCAAUAACUAUCAUAUUGUAAAGAAGGGAUUUACUUGCACUUCUCAUUAUCUUCAUCAUAUAAGAGAAUAUGACUUUAGAUAGUAAAAUCUUGUGCUUUCUCUUGAUGUAGUACAUGAACCACAUUUCAUAACCCUUUAUGAUAUAGUAUUUAGUGCUGAAAAGCCUAAUAGUCCAUGCUAAGAUAAUGUGUAGGAUCUUAUCACAAAAGGUUAGCCUUAUGACACUAUUUCCCCUUUUGGGACUAAAUGGAUCAUAGUUAUAGAUGUCUUUUAGCUAACUCAGCAUCACUAAUAUUGUUUUUGUUAGACAUGUUAUCUCAAGAGUAAUGAUGAGUAAAUAUCUAAGAGAAAGGUGAAUUAGAUUUCAAAAAUUUAUUUUCUUCAAAUUAGAUUUUCGAUGGAUGCUAGCUUGGAAAACAAUUGUCAAAUUUGUUAUGACUUUGAAAUAAACCAAAGAAAUGAACAUACAAGUUGAAAACAAAAUUUUGAAACUCUUUAAAGUAAGUUGUACAAAUAUGUCAAAGUGAAUCAAAAGUGAUUUGCGGAGUAAAAAAAAAAACAAGUUUAAAAACAAACAUUCAAAUCUCUUCACAACAAAGAAAAAUGCACAAGUAAGAAAAAGUGAAGAGUAAAGAGAAAAUGCACAAGUUCAAAAAGUAAAAGAGAAGAUAAAGACACAAAGCAUUUAUAGAGGUUCGACCCUCUCCAUAAGCACCUACAUCCUCCCCCAUAGCUCACCAUGGAGUUUGAAAUCCAUUAUGAAAGCUGCCUUCUUAAAGUAUCAAGCAUAACCGUUACAAACCACUACCUUUUAUAGAUCAAGCAUAACUCUUGCCUUUUCAAGGAUCAAGCGUAACCUUUACACACUACCUGGUUAAGGCAUAAUCUCUCUACUUUCAAGGCUAAAGCAUAACCUAUCUAUUUUUCAAGACUCAAGCACAAUCUCUACAACACUGCUUUUUAAAGGAUCAAGUAUAACCUUUUCUCUCUUACAAGAUCAAGCAAAUGUACUUCUAGAAGGUAGGUUUUGCUAUGUGAGUACAUGGAGGAAGAGUUUGGAGGAGCUAAAAGAUGAUUACAAAUGAUAUGAGUGAAAGCACAAGGAAUUUGAGAUAAGAGUAUUUGUGUUGUUUUCAGACAAGAGUUCUCUUAAAAUGAGAAAUAUUUAUUAAGAUAGUUAUUGUCUUAAGAUAAAAUAAUAUUGGAGGAUUUUAAUUAUAAUUAAAUAAUUAAUUUGUUUAUUCUUUAUUUAUAAUUAAUUAUUCAUAAUUUCUUCAUAAAUUAUAAGAUUUCGUGUUUGAUUAGGAUUCGUUUAUUUUUUUAUUAAUUCUUUUUAAUUAAAGAUGGAUAAUAAUAAAACAGAAUAAUUAUUUAAGGAGGAAUUCUAUUUUUAUAUAGACAAAUAAUAAUAAUUAAAUAAAUAAAUUAGUUAUUAUUUAAUUUUAAUUUAGAUAAUUAUUGGAGGAGAAGGGUGUAACCAUAACUUUUUAUGGAUGACCAUAACUCUUUAAAAAAUAAAAAGCAGUUUAUAAAAGAAAAAAGGUGGGAGGCCGAAUAAUAGAAAACGAUUUUCUUUAUUUUUGCUUAAAACUUAAUAGCCAAAUUUUAUCCUCCAAAAAUAUUAUUGGCUCUAUUAGUUUUUGUUGAUAAUAAAACAUUCCCAUUCAUUUGUGUCUAACAUUUUUACUUGAGUGUGCAGGACAAGAAUUGUAUGCCAAUGAUAAAUAAAUUAUUCUAAGAGACAUAUAAAAAAUUAUACGUAUAAAAAGCCACAAUUAAUCAACAAAAUAGAAGCUUCUUAGUUGAAUAAUAAAGGGAUAGUCAGAUAAAAUUCAAAUCAGAAGUUGACGGGCUCAAGAGUAUUGAGAAACAGAAAAGAUUUAGUCGACUAACAAAAGGGUUAGUCGACUAAGAGUCUACUGCCAGAAAUCUGGACUUCAAGAUAGAAACAAUUUAAUCGACUAAGAAGGAAGUUAGUCGACUAAGUGCUCACUGCUAGAAACUAGGAUUAGAAAAUAGAAACAACUUACUCAACUAAGAGCGCAGUUAGUCAACUAAGAUCAUUCUGUCAGAAAAUUUGAAUUGAGCACUAAAAGACAGAUUAAUGGUUAAAACCACCGCCAAACUGUUUUCAAUGGUCAAAAACUGCCUAAUACUUAUCAGAGCUGAUUUUUCAAGUAUUUAAGAGGCUUCUAAUGGCUAAAAAUGCAAUUAAGGCUUCCAAGUCCAAAAAGAGCUCAAAAACCAGCAAAAACUCUCUGCAUUCUUCUACACUUCAUGCCUAUCCUUGCAAAAGAUUCAAGCACAUCACUUUGUACCACUUAGAUCAAGUUAGUGAUCAUAGGCACACAUUUAUUUCUCUUUAUCUUGUAUACUUAGAGUGUGCGAGACACUCUAAAGGAUUUAUUCAAGCUUGGAUUUCUUGAUUGAGUGUAUAGGUUAUAACUUAGCCUAGAAAAGUUAGUUGUUGGGUUUUGGUUGAUCCUGGUAAAAACCAUUGUGAAAGGUUUUGGCUAAGCCUAGUAAAAGCCAUUGCAAAGCUUGGUCAGAGCUUGGGAAUUUCACCGUUCAUAAUGAUUGGUUUUGAAAAUCCUUGGUUGAACAAUCAAGGUAAUGGAUAUAGGUUUUAGACCGAACCACUAUAAAUUCUUGUGUGAUUAUCUAUUCUGUUUUUAGUUUUUCAUUCAUCUUUAAAUCUUUCUUUUACCUUGCAUUUGUCCCCAAUUAGAAGUCAAUUUUAGUAAGAGCCAAAAAGUACUAUUCACCCCCCUCUAGCACAUUUACUUGGGACUAACAAGUGGUAUUAGAUUAAGUUUCCUAUUCUUAAGGUCUAACACUUUUUGAGAAAAUCCAAAUGGCUCUUCAAAAAUGAGUAGUGGCUAAGGGACAAUCGACAAACAAACCACCUCUGUUUGAUGGCUUAAAAUGCCCAUAUUGGAGAACUAGGAUCUCAAUAUACAUUAGAGCAAUAGAUUUUGAGAUAUGGGAUGUCAUAACCGAUGGUCCCUUUAUUCCUUCAACUUUAAAUGUUGUAACCAACGAGAUGAUUCCUAAACCAAGGUCUGAAUGGACCGAAACUGAAACCAAAAGAGUCCAAACUAAUUUUAAGGCAAUCAAUAUAUUGCAUUGUGCUUUAAUAUAUUGCAUUGUGCUUUAACUCCCACUGAAUUCAACAAUGUGUCAAGCUAUACCAUAGCUAAACAAAUGUGGGAUAAACUUAGGAUUAUUCAUGCAGGGACUUCACAAGUCAAGGAGUCCAAGAUAGCUCUCUUAACCCACAACUAUAAGAUGUUUAAGAUGGAACCUAGUGAAGAUAUCACUAGCAUGCUAGAUAGAUUCACAAACAUCACAAAUAAAUUGAGUCAAUUAGGCAAACCAAUUCCUGAACAUGAGAUUGUUAAAAGGCUUCUUAGAAGCCUACCCAAAAAUUGGAAGCCAAAGGUGAUUGCCAUCCGUGAAGCCAAGGACUUAAAUGUUAUAACUUUGGAUGAAAUUUAUGGUUCUCUUCUCACUCACGAGCCAAAACUCAAGGAAGAGGAAAAGGAAGACAAAAGAAAGGCAAACGAAAAGAAGAAAAGUAUUGCCUUAAAAGCUAGUAUCCUGGAAGAAGAAUUAGAUAGUCUAUCUUGUGAUGAUGAUGAGGAGCUGGCUAUAGUUGCAAGAAGGUUCAAAACGCUUAUGGGCCAAAGAAACCGAAGAUUGGCCAAGAAAGGGUAUAAAAUAGAUCAAGGCUCUUCAUGGAGAACCAAAAAUAAAGUCGAGUCUAACAAAAAGGAAAAGCUUAUAUGCUUUGAAUGCAAAAAGGCUAGACAUUUCAAGUCUGAAUUCUCCAUGCUGAAAGAGGAAACUCCAAAGAAAAAUAGAAAAUCAAAGAAGGCAAUAGUGGCUGCUACUUGGCCAGAUAGUGAUACUUCAAGUUCUAAUGAUGAUGAAGAAAAGAUGGAAGAAAGAGCUAAUCUAGUCUGAUGGCAAGGGAUGAUGAAUCCGAGGUAUCUUCAUCCCUUGGUGACAUUUCAAUUGAUGAAUUACAAGAUAAGUAUGAAUGUCUUUACGAUGAGUUUGAGAAACUUGCAUCUAAAUAUAAAACUUUGAAGAGAAAAACUGCAUCUUUUGAGAUUGAUUUGCAAAAGGUAAAACUUGACUUUAAUUCUAUUUUUGAGCAAAGAAAAUUUUUGCAAACUCAAUUAGAGCAUUCAAAAAUAGAUUUUGAAACUCUAAAAUUAGAAUUGGAAAAUAAAACAAAAGCCUUGCAAAAGGUAGUUGAAGAAAAUGCUAAUUUUAAAAGUUUAAGGAAAGAAACAUAAGUGAGGAACGAAUAUUUUAAGAAAAACUUUGAUAAUGCUUUAUCUAGAUGUUAUAAUUGUGGAAAAUUUGGACAUGUAUCUUAUGACUGUUAUAGAAAUAGAAGCAUGCAGAAAACAAGAAAAAUUUGGGUUCCAAAAGGAUCCUAUGUUGCAGCUAACCAUCAAGGACCCAUCAAAAUAUGGGUACUUAUUCAGAAAAAUUGAAAAUUUGUUUUGUAGGUUGAGUUGAAUGUAAAAGACACAUGUUCAAGAGAUCAACUAAAGGAGAAGGAACACAUGGUUUAUGCAUAGUGGCUGCUCAAGGCACAUGACUGGAAAUGAAAUGCUGUUUGCUCAACUAGACAAGAAAAAGGGAGGUACCGUUUCCUUUUGUGAUGAUUCAAAAGGUAGAAUUUGUGGUAUUGGAACCAUUGGUAAGAACUCUCAAGCUCGAAUUAGUCAUGUGUUGUUGGUUAAAGGUUUGAAACACAAUUUAUUGAGUAUCAGCCAACUAUGUGAUAAAGAUUUUAAGGUAUGCUUUGACUCAAAUAAAUGUGAAGUGAUAGAUAUAAGUAUUAACAAAGUUUCAUUUAUCGAAAAAAGAAUUAAGAAUAUGUAUAUUAUAUUUCUUAAAUAUCUUGAGGUGUUGUGAAACAUGUCUUAUAGCAAAUGUUGAAAAUGAUGGCUAGUUAUGGCAUAGGAGACUUGGACAUGUGAGCAUGCAUACUAUCUCAAAAUUGAUAAGAAAGAAUGCUUAUAGGAUUGCUUGAACUUAAAUAUGAAUAUGAUCAAAUUUGUGAUGCAUGUCAACUAGGAAAACAAGUUAGAACAUCUUUCAAAAGUAAGAAAAAUGUGUCAACCUCUAGACCACUAGAAUUGUUGCACAUUGAUCUAUUUCGGUCGAUUAAUACUACUAGUCUAGGAGGAAUAUGGCUUUGUGAUAGUUGAUGACUAGUCUAGGUAUGCUUGGGUCUACUUCCUUGCUCAUAAGAAUGAUGCACUACCGGCAUUUAUAAAUCAUUGUAGGAAAGUUGAAUAUGAAAAAGGACUUGCCAUAGUUGGUAUUAGAAGUGAUCAUAGUGGUGAGUUUGAGGGAGAUGAGUUUGAAAACUUUUGUAAUGAAAAGGGGUUGGAUCAUAAUUUUUCUGCACCUAGAACACCCCAGCAAAAUGGAGUUGUAGAAAGGAAAAACUAAACCUUAAAAGAGAUGGCUCGAACUAUGCUUUGUGAAAAUAAUUUACCAAAGUACUUUUGGGAAGAAGUUGUAAACACAGCAGCUUACAUCCUUAAUAGAGUGUCAAUAAUACCCAUGAUAUCAAAGGCCCCAUAUGAACUAUACGAAGGUAGAAAACCAUAUAUCUCUCACCUUAGAAGCUUUGGCUGCAAAUGUUUUGUGUUGAACAAUGGAAAACAGCCUCUAGGAAAGUUUAAUGCUAAGAGUGAUAAGGCUAUAUUUUUAGGAUAUGCAUUAAACUCAAAAGCUUAUAGAGUCUUUAACAAAAGAUCUUUAACCAUUGAGGAGUCAAUCUAUGUAGUUUUUGAUGAAUCCAAUGCCUUGCAAAAAGAAAUUCCUGCUGAUGAAGAUGAUACGGAUGACCUUGAAAAACAAAUGGAAGAAAUGAAUUUAGAUGACAGGAAAAACAAUGAAGAAAAGUCCCUAGGAAAAGAAACAGAGCCUCAACCUUUAGAAACAUUACAAAGAACCGAAAAUCAGCAUAAUGACCUUUCAAGAAGCUAGAGAUAUGUAAAAGACAAUCCACAAGAGUUUAUCAUAGGAGACAUGACUCAAAGUGUCAAAACCAGAAGAAGAAUUAGAGAGACAUAUGAAUUUUCAACUUUCAUAUCUCAAAUUGAGCCUAAGAGCUUUAAAGAAGCUGAAAAAGAGGAAAGUUGGGUAAUGGCCAUGCAAUAAGAACUUGAUCAAUUUAAAAGAAAUCGUGUGUGGUCAUUAGUAUCUAGGCCUUUAAAUCACCCUAUUGUUGGGACAAAAUGGGUGUUUAGAAAUAAGGUAGAUGAGAAAGGAAAUGUCAUUAAGAACAAAGCUAGGUUAGUGGCUCAAGGGUAUAACCAAGAGGAAGGAAUCAGCUAUAAUGAAACCUUUGCACCGGUUGCUAGAAUAAAAGCUAUAAGGUUGUUGCUUGCAUUUGCUUGUUUUAUGAACUUUAAAUUAUUCCAAAUGGAUGUAAAAAGUGCCUUUCUAAAUGGUUUCAUCUAAGAAGAAGUUUAUGUUGAACAACCUCUUGGAUUUGAAGACUUUGAAAAACUAGAUCAUGUUUUCAAACUUCAUAAAAGCCUUGUAUGGAUAGAAACAAGCUCUUAGAGCUUGGUAUGAGGGGCUUUCAAAAUUCCUAGUUGAAAAAGGUUACGUUAGAGGGAACAUUGAUACAACUUUGUUUGUUUAAAGAUACUUAAAUGAUUUAAUUGUUGUUCAAAUCUAUGUGGAUGAUAUUAUUUUUAGUGCAACUAAAGAGCUUUAUGCAAGAACUUUGAUGAAGAAAUGCAGGGUGAAUUUGACAUGAGUAUGAUAAGAGAGCUGAAAUUCUUUCUUGGGCUUCAAAUCAAACAAAAUGAGGAAGGAAUUUUCAUCAGCCAAGAAAGAUACAUCCAAAAUAUGCUUAAAAAGUUCGACAUGUUAAAGCUGAAGUCAAUUAGCACACCAAUGAGUCCAUCCUCCAAACUUGAUGUUGAUGAAAAAGGAAAGGAUGUUAAUCAAAAGCUUUACAGAGGUAUGAUUGGAUCACUACUUUAUUUAACAACUAGCAGACUAGAUAUCCAAUUUUGUGUAUGUUUGUGUGCUCGUUUUCAAUCUCAACCCAAGGAAUCACGCCUGACUGCUAUUUAAAGAAUUUUUAGAUACCUCUUAUAUACACAAACUUUAAGGAUAUGGUAUCUUAGAAAAUCAUCCUUUAAUCUAGUUAGAUAUUCAGAUGCAAAUUUUGCUGGAAGCAAAACUGAUAGAAAGAGCACUAGUGAAACUUGCCAGUUUCUAGGUAGUAUGCUUGUGUCAUGGUCAAGUAAAAAACAAAAUUCAAUUGUUCUCUCUACAGCUGAAGCUGAAUAUAUUUCUUUAGGUAGUUGUUGUGCUCAAAUCUUGUGGAUUAAACAACAACUAAAAGACUUUGGAGUAACAAUGGAUAACAUACCAAUAUAUUGUGAUAAUACAAGUGCAAUCUAGACUUCAAAAAACUCCUGUACAGCAUUUUAGGACUAAGCAUAUUAAGAUUAGGCAUCACUUUGUUAGAGACCAUGUAGUGAAAGGUUAUAUUAAGAUUGAGUUUGUUAAUACUCUACAACAAUUAGCUGACAUAUUCACGAAGCCUUUAAAUGAGGAAAAAUUUUGUGAGAUUAAGAGAAAUUUAGGAAUGGCUAGUGUGCAGGAGCUUCAAGAAAAAUUCUGAAAUUUUCUUAAAGAAUAGUAGGCACUUAGUUGACUAAGAGAGGCACUUAAUCAACUAAGAGUAUUCUGUCUCUUUAAAUAAUAAGACUCAGUCAGUUAGAGAAAGAAGGAAUUAAAUAAUGAAAAGAAACUACUUACCCGUUGAUGAAACAGAAAAGAAAAACUGCUUCACCAAAAAUAAAAUUUAAGAGGGAAAUUAUUAAAUUUUAAAAGAAGAGGUUACUGAAUGCAUUUAAAGAGGGAGAGUUAGAAGAUUUUGGCAGAAUUCAGCUUCUCUUAACACAUUCUCACUGUAUUUUCUCUUAUCCAAAACUAACUUUGCUAAAACAAAAAUUCUUCCUUCCCAAGCCCUUAAAACCCUAAGCCAUAAAUCCCUCAAACCAAAUGGCAAAAUCAUCACAAACUAAAGAAAUUCUAGAAAGGAAAAAGGUAAAUGACCAAGGGAGGAAGGUGGACAAGUUAAAUCUCUGAAAAAGAAAAAGAAGGGUAUGUCUGCCUCUAGAGUCGAGAAAUUUGGGAAAAAGCAGACAAUGAAGGAAUACAAACCAGAAAAGAAGAAAAAAAAGGGUAAAUCCUCCAAGAAAAGUAAUAUUUCAUCCUUCAAAUUUAGGAAUAAAAGCCAUGAAGAUAGAUUCAAGAAAAUAGAAAAUGCUUUAAUCACUUGUGGAAAAUUCAUAGAUUGGAACAACUUUGAUGAAGCCCCUGAAAUUCAGGUUAUUUUAUCAUAUUAUUUUGAAGAAAUGAAACUGAAAGAUUUUACCACUUUUAAGAAUCGAACCUAUAGUGCUAGUUUGGUGAAAGAAUUUUAUGCCAGUAUAGCUUUAGAUAAGGAUGAACUUAAGGAUUCUGAUGAUUAUAUUGAUGAUGGUCUGAAUGUCUUUUUAAACGGAAAUGAAUUUGUUGUGAUUGCUGCUGAUUUAGGAAAUUUGCUUAAAAUUGAAAGUGAAGAUGGUGACUAUGAGAUGCUUGAAAACUAUGAUCUCACUUCUUUGUGGGAGAUAAUUACAGGGAGGAAAGAAAAAUAUUCAUCAAAGAGUAAUGCUGGUCUGAUUAAAAGUCCACAGAUUAGAAUUUUGCAUUAUUUUAUUGCUGCGAAUAUUCAUGGAAGAGGUGGCAGUUUUAGCUACAUUAGUCUUCAAGACUUAUGGCUGAUGGAGCAUGCCUUCAAUGGUGCUCCACUUAAUCUAGGCAAAUUCAUGAUUGAGAGAAUGAGAAGAGUUUGUCGAUUGGAAAAAAUAAAUCUGCCCUAUGGAAAUAUCAUUACAUCAUUGGUACAGAAAAAAAGGAUUUGGAGCUCUAAGUAUGAAUUAAUAAAGUGAAGAGUAGGGACCAAGCUAUUUACCUUGGGAGUCUGCCUAAGAUGGGGUAUAAGCUUGAUGGAGAAAAAUUUGUUAAAACCCCCAUGAUCACUCCAGGAGGAGAGUUUUUUCUCCUUGCUCAAUUAAAAGCAGCCCCUUCACAGUUCUCAAAUGAAAUGGUUUUCAAUCUGCUCAUGAGAAUGGAUGGAAAGCUUAUUGAACAGGCUGUGAAGAUGUAGAAAAUUGUAGAAAAAUUGGCAAAACUGGGAAAUGUGUUGAAGGAAAAAGGAAAAAUGCCUCCUGAACUUGCAACUGUAGACACCUCUACCAUUCCAAGCCCUGUACUAGUAGAACAAGAUGCUGAAGGCUCUACUUUCCAGGGCGAGGGUCAUAAACCUAAAGUUGAUCAAUCAAGGAAAUCCCCCUCACCUGAGCCACAAAAAGAAGCUGAAUUAGAACAAGGUACCGAGGGGCUUGGAUCACUUGGUGAAAUUCCUCCAUCCCAUCAUGAACCUCAACAAGAACAACCUUCUCCUCCCAAUUUAGAGGAAGUCUCAAUAAUGGAUGUCUUUCACCAAAUGGUUAGAGAAGAACAAGUUGAAAAGGAAGCAGUUAAAGGGAAAGCACAAAAGUUAGUAUCUUCAAAAGAAUCCUCUAAAUCAGCUUCAGUUGUAGAGCAACAAUCUAGGAAAGGAAAAGAAAAAGUUAUUGUUGCUCCACAAGCCAAAUCUAAACCAUCUGGUAAAGGCAUGAAGACAAUAGCAACCAAGACCAAAUUCCUAAAGAGAUGAAAAUCCUCUAGAAUAGUUGAAAAAGCUAGACCAUUAGUCAUCUUUUCUCUUUAAGACCCCAUUGAAAUUCUUGAUAAAUCAUCGCCUGAACCCUCACUAUAGAAAUCACCUCCAGAACCAUUUCCUGUAUCCUUUAAUGUUUUCUAUUGCACUAAUGAGUCUACUCCUUCACCCUUUUCAGAAUAUGAUUGAGCGUCCUUAGGAUUUGAUGAUGACAAAAAGGGGGAGAAUUAUGAUACAAAGUUUAGUGGAGAUUAGGGGCAGUUUAGGAACUAAACAAUGACUAUUUUUUCUAUUUUUUUUAUGUUGUCAACCGAACAUCUGAAAUUAACUUUGUGGUUUAUGUUGUUGUGUUGAAAAUGGGAUGUUGUUAAGCUGCUUAUAUUAUUUGUUUGCUUAUGGUUAAACCUAUUCUUGAGUUUGUUUGCUACUGUUUUGAGAUUUUGUACUGAUAUGAGGCUGUUAUGAUGAUAACCAAUUUCUGUCAGUGAUACUGUAAAUGGAAUGUGAAUGGGUUAUAUUUGUGAAUGUAUAUGGAUGUUAAUUAUACUAUAUUUGUUGGAUGAUAAAUGGUAUAGAUAAAAUCUGGUAACACUAUGUUGUUGGCAAACACAGUUGAAAUAUUGAUGAUAUUCUAUCAACCAGUCACCUAUUGUUGAUUACUCUAUAUGUUAGCAUAAAUAUAUUCUGAAAGAAUAAUGUCAUUGUCUGUAUGACAUAAAUAAAAAUUUGAUGAAAUGAAUAAGUAAACAAGCACACACUAAGGGGGAGCACUCACUUAGGGGAAAAAUUCUCAUUUUUUGUGCAGAGCUCAAAAGAUUAAAUGGACACUGUAUUGUUAAUCAAUCAAUGUUUUGUCAUCAUUAAAAAAGGGGAGAUUAUUGGCUCCAUUAAUUUUUUAUGAUAAUAAAACAUUCCCAUUCAUUUGUGUUUAAUAUUUGGAGUUAAGUGUGUAAGACAAGAAUUGUAUGCCAAUGAUAAAUAAAUUAUUCCAAGGGACAUAUCAAAAUUAUAUGUAUAAGAAGCCACAAUUAAUCAACAAAACAGAAGCUUCUUAGUUGAAUGAUAAAGGGUUACUCAGCUAAAAUUCAAAUAAGAAGUUGGUGAGCUCAAGAGUAUCGAGAAACAGAAGAGACUUAGUCGACCAAAAAAUGGGUUAGUCGACUAAAAGUCUACUACCAGAAAUUUGGACUUCAAGAUAGAAACAACUUAAUCAACUAAAAAAGAAGUUAGUUGACUAAGUGCUCACUGCUAGAAAUUGAGAUUAGAAAAUAGAAACAACUUAGUCGACUAAGAACGCAAUUAGUCAACUAAGAUCAUUCUGUCAGAAAAUUUAAAUUGAGCACUAGAAGGCAGAUUAACUGCCAAAACUGCCAUCAAACUGUUUUCAACGGUGCAAAACUGCCUAACACCUAUCAGAGCUAAUUUUCCCAGUAUUUAAGAGGCUUCCAACGGCUAGAAAUGCAAUUAAGGCUUCCAAGUCCAAAAAGAGCUCAAAAACAAGCAAAAACUCUCUGCAUUCUUCUGCGCUUCACACCUAUCCUUGUAAAAGAUUCAAGCACUUCACUUUGUACCACUUAGAUCAAGUCAGUGAUCAUAGGUACACUUUUAUUUCUCUUUAUCUUGUAUACUUAGAGUGUGCGAGACACUUUAAGGGAUUUAUUCAAACUUGGAUUGCUUGAUUGAGUGUAUAAGUUCUAACUUAUCCUAGAAAAGUUAGUUGCUGACUUUUGGUUGAUCUCGGUAAAAACCAUUGUGAAAGGUUUUGGUUGAGCCCGAUAAAAGCCAUUGUAAUGUUUGGUGAAAGCUUGAGAAUUUCACCGUUCAUAGUGAUUGGUUUUGAAAAUCCUUGGUUGAACAAUCAAUGUAGUGGAUGUAGGUCUUGGACCGAACCACUAUAAAUUCUUGUGUGAUUAUCUAUUUUGUUUUUAGUUUUUCAUUCAUCUUUAAAUCUUUCUUUUAUCUUGUAUUUGUCCCAAAUUAGAACCCAAUUUUAGUAAGAGUCAAAAAGUGCUAUUCACCCCCACUUAGAACAUUUACUUGGGACCAACAAAUACCUCCAUUGUAACACCUCGUACUUUGAUAUGUUGACUAAUAGAACUUAUCGGAUACCAAUUGAGGUUAAUUAGAGUGUUUAAGAGUGAUGAAGGGUAGAGGGAAUAUUCUAGAGUAAAAUAUUUCACACGCAAAGCCAUAGUAGUUAAAUAAUAAUUUUUUUAUUGAGGAUGAAUUAACGAUAUAAAAAAGUGAUUCGAAAGUGAACCAAGGCAUAGUAAGAUAUUUUGGGUGCCAAGGAGACAAAUGAAAAAUUUUGGAAUAAAAUAAUAUUAAAAUAUUAAUAUUUUAUUUAGUGUCUAAAUUUUUCAUGAAGAAGGAGUAUAUGGUCAAUCUAAGUGGGGGAGAAGAAAGAACAAGGAAAUUCAAAGAAAAAUGACAUUAAUGGGGCCCCCAUGUCUUUAUUAAAAAAAGUUAGUGUGGGUAGGUAAAUAUUUAAAUAUUGCAGUGAUACCGCGUUGAAGUAUAAACCUGAUAUUUUUUUGAUACAAGUGUUAAGGAAGAAAAAUGGAAUUAAAAGAUUGUGGGAGGCUACAAUUAAAAAAGGUGAAAAUCUUAAAGGGUAAAAUGAUAAUUUUACCAUUAGUUUGGUCAAAGCUUCCAAAUGAAGUUUUGACUCUUUAUCCUUAUCCCAUGGCUAGUUCUUAUCUCCAUCCAAAAGAUAUUUUCUUCUUCACCUUCAUGCUCCCUUGCCAUUUCACCUUGUCACCAAACAUUUGAAAAGAAAAAUGGCUUUGUUUUGCUAGGAAAACCAUACUCUUGGAAAGAAAAUAGAUGAGAUAAGUUGGAAGAAAGGAGAAAGGAAAGAAAGAAAGGAGAAAGAAAAAGAGAGAAAGGAGGAAAAAAGCUUGGUUUUGUGAUUCAAGCAAGGAAAGGUAAGGAUUUUUGUUUUUAGCUUGAGUAAUCUUUGAAAAUGAGUUAGUGACUAAGAGAAAUGUCUUGUGCCAGCAAAGAUUGGCUUGAUUGGAGAAAAAUUGGUGACAUACAAGCCAAUAAAUCCAUGGGUACAUGAUGGACUCAAAGUGGAAAAGGAAAGCAGUAAGCUUAACACUAUGUUUUAAAGCUUACGGUUAGUUGAAUAUUGUGAGGAAAUAAUUGUGCAAGUGUGGGCAGCAUAUGAAUGUAAAUUGUGGUGCAUGUAAACUUAAGAAAUGCUUGAUGAAAUUAUAUUUAUAAUUGCUACCAUGUGAGAGGUUAUUGGUGUGAAAAUGAUAGUUGAACUUGAUAGAUACCAUUGGAAAGGAUUAAUAUGUGUGCUAACGUUAUAAAUGAGUUGCCGGUACUUAUAAUCUAAAGAAUUACGCAAGCAAAGGAUAUGAAGAACCUUAGCAGAAACGUGUCAAGAUGCAAAUUAGUAGAAUGAGGAUUCAUGAUUAAAUGAGAAAGAGAAGUGGAAAUGAUGUACACUAAAUGUAUUGAGUUUAAUUUGUUGCUAGGAAAGUUUGCCAUGGUGGCGUACCGGGAAAGGUAACGAGUGACCGGCAAAUAGAAAUAACGAGAUAUGCACCCGAAUCAAUAACGACAAAGUGUCCCGCUAUUGUAAGGUGAGUGGGGGGUGCCUACUUCAAAAUUUCCAUAGCUAUAUAGUGUUAUACGUUUUAUAAAUGUUGCCGAAUUUCAUUAAAUACAAUUCUAGAAAGCAUGAGCUGUUAGCCUCAAUAGGCGAUUUUUAAAUUGAUUUACAAUGAUUUAUACACUGUUAUUAUGGAAAGCAUGAGCUAGUAGAACUCGUAGGAAAUUGUGGAUGCAAGUUGUUUUGAAAAUUGUUUUGGACAUAUCUAUACAUGAGCUAAAUACAUAAAGUGUUUUAGAAACAGGAAAACAAGCCUUUUAUACUGUUUUGCAUUCAAAAUCUGUGCCUUGUAUUUUUUUGUGUAUGCAUAGUUUAAAUGCAAUUGUUAAAUGAUUUAAAAUACAAGUUUUGACCACCGGUUUUAGUCCGAUCUUUUCAAGAAUGAAAAUGGUUUUUCUAAGAAAACAAAUUGUUAAUGAUUGUGAUAUGAUUGACACAAUGAUUUUUGUCAGUUAAAAUUCUACUACGCAAGUAUAUGUAUCGAAUAGAUAAUAUAUAAGCAAGCAGAGUAUCGAUCCAUUAGGGAAUUGAUCUAAAAUUUUGCUAAGUACUAAAAUUAGAAAAAUUUAAUAUUAUCCAAACACUCAAAAUUAAUUGAUCAACUAAACUAAUUAACUAAAAUUUAAAUCAACAAGAAAAUCAAAAUAAUAAUAACUUGAAAAAUAAAAAUAUCAAAUUAAACAAACCUAGGAUUACAAUAUCCCUCACACUUCAUCUAAAUCUUACCUCUCUUCCUUAACUUAUUUCAAUGGGUUGAAUUGCUGACGUAGAGUCCUUAAUUAUUUAUAAGGGUCUCCCCGACUCAUCUUAUAAAAAUAUCUAUUUUAAUCAAAACACUAUAUCCCUAUGUGAAUUGAAAUUAAAAUAGACUCAUCGAGUUUAGGCUAUAAUCUGGCUACAUAUGGCCUAUAGGUAUAUCCCUAUCCUAUACGCAAAUCAAUUAAUAUGAUCAUAUGCUAUCCCAAUUUUAGUUUACUUUAAACUCCCUUUCCCAAGUUUGUUUAGGUUCCUAAAUCAAAUUAAUUGGUGGCCAAGCAGUUAAAAGCAUUAAGAACAAAUUGGAAUAAACAAUUCAAAUCCCAUUAAAAAUAAGUAAAAAAGAGAUUAAAAACUUAGAUUACAUUUGAGUUCAAUUACAAUCCUAGAAAAAGAAAAUUAGCUGCGCAUAAUUGCAAAAUAAAAUAACUUUGUAUAAAAUUCAACCAUUGAAAGUAACAAGAACAAUAAAAGCCAAGGAAGAUAACAAAACAAUAUUUGCCGCCUUGAUAUCCAAGUUUCAGCCUCAACUUUUAGCUUCUUGAAUCUCCAAAGGUUCUCUGCCCUAAUGUUGUUAAACAUAUCCUAUUUAUACUAAUAAGCUUAACCUAAAGUUCCUUAAGCUGACCUAGGGUUUAAUUGGGCUUAAAAGUGUAAUGAGAGGCCCAAAAAUCAAUUGUCAAUCUUUACAAAUUUCCAUUCCCAGCACAGUACGUCCAGCUAUGUUUUGACACAAGUUUCUGUCUCUUCGAGGUAGAACUGGGCAAAUUGAUGUCAUGAAAGUUGUAGCUCUAUCUCUUAGCUUUCCAAUGGUCCAAGAAUGGCAUCAUUUGAAGUACUGUAGCUCGAGAUAUGGGCAAAAUACUAAAGCAUAUGCAAGCAUAUUUUGGGUCUUCAUCACCUUACUUUCCAAAAUUAAGCCAAAUCACUUUUAAUCCUAAAAAAAAAAUAUAAAAAUUAAUAAAUAAUAACCAAAUUAAAAGGGAUAACAUAAACUUAAAAUAACUAACUUAAAAGUAACCUAAUUAUAAAAACAACUAAAAAUAAGUAAAUUAUAAUUUAAAAUUGAGGACUUAGCUAAUAUUUCAUAACAAAAUUGGACUAAAAUAAUUCUAUAAAAUAGAAUUAUCACACCCCUAAACUUGAGAUUUUGCUAGUCUUCGAGCAAAAGAAAAUCACAAAAAAAAAAUUGAAUUAUAAAAAAAAUCCUUGAACAAUAGAUAUGUCACGACCCGGACCUCCCCUUGAACCCGUGACAACCACCGCGGUGCCUUGAUGGGCACUCAUUUUCCAGAAUGCCAACCGGAACCCUGCAAGGCUUAAUAUUAGUUUCUUGUAUUCCCCGGUGAGUAACUAUUGCCAAAUAUUAUGUUCUAAAGGAUUUUGAGCUAUUUCCAACUUAAAACUAAUAAAAUAAAAAUUUUUGUCUCAUAGGGGCAUUUUGGUCAUUUUCCACUGAAAAUUUUGAAACCAGUUAAAAAUGUAGUAAACAAGUACCAAUCGCCUAAUUCACAAUUAAAAAUAAGUUUAGGCAUCUAAAACCUUAAUUGAAAAUGAAAUUGUAAUUAUUUGAAUAAAAUAAGAAGAUAAAAUAAUAUAUUCAAUAAAAUAUUUUAUUUUCUUAUAAACAUAAAUUUUGGAGUUAUGCGUAAAUACUUUUUGUAACGUAAAAACAAAAUAAAUUCAUUUAUACUAUAGCACAAUAAACUAUUAAAUUUACAAUAUCAAGUGGGCCCACAAUAACUAAAAUUUAAGAAGUUGUGAACCUACAGUUUUGGAAGAAGCAAUCCAAUGGAAAUCCCCAAUGGAACCAGCUAUCUACAAACUACUCUGAUCUUGAAAUGGGUGGAAAGGAGGGUGGUGAGAUUAUAAAAUCCCAGUGAGUAAACAAACACUAUUUAAAUCAGCUAAAGCCGAGUAAAAGGAGACAAUUAAAAUAUCCCAUCAUAUUAUGUAUUUUCUAAUUUGAAAAUUUAUCCCAACCCAUGCAAACGGUUGUAUUUCAUUUAAUUUCUCAUUAAGGCUUAUGACUUUCAUAAACAUUUGGCUCAUGCCAUCAAAUAGUACUCGAUGACACCUUGAUCAGAGGCGUACACUCGAGCCUGCCAAGGCUGUUAAAAUUUUGAAUACACGUAAAACAUAUUUUUAGUUUGAGAAAAACACAGUCGUUCCUUGGCAUUAGUGGAGUUCAUCAUCACGAGGUGGUUUGGCAUGACGUGAACUCUAUCCAUACCUCAGGAAAUACCCUACGCGCCUCUCCAACCGAGGUAAGCACAUAUAAACAGGGUUACCGUGCCCCUCUCAUAGGCUGGUCCAUGGAACCCGCCUACUGCAGCAAGCUAAACCCACCAUAUAAUAAAAUUUUAACAGCAUGACAAGGCUAAUAUUUUACUACCCAGCCUGCAAGGGUAAAAUAAAACAAUUCAUACAAUUCAUAAAACACAGCCCAGCCAGUCAUGUCAACACAAUAACAAUAUAUCAUAAGCCAUCAAUUUCAAAUCAUAAAUUUACAACAUGCUGGAGGUCUCCAAUUACUCUAUUUUCAAAAUCGUUAUUCAAUUUCCAGACAAUUUUUAAAAUCUUUUCAUGUAAACACAUUCUGUUUGUAAAAUACAAAAAUUUACCAUUUAAACUCAUUUUCAUAAAAUUUCACCAAAAUCGAUUAAAAACAUACUUUAGAUAAUAAAAAUGAUGGUAAGGUUACUCACAAUGUCCAGAGUGGGGAUUUUUGAAAUACUCAGACAACUGGUCUUCGGAUGCAAUUCCCUUGCCUUUAUCGGAGGACUCACAACCUUGACACAGUACAAAAUUGAGAAAUUCACGACAUUGGUACUAAAUUGAAAUUAAACUAAUUUAGACUACUAAUGCAUGAUAUGGAAUGCAAAAGGUCUAAAUUUUGCCUAAACACCAUAUUGACCUAUUUCGAUCUUUUACCCAGUAAAUUGAAAUACGCAUCCAAUUUAGCUCCAAUUGAUCCCAUUUCUUUUUCUAAUGCUUCAAGUCACCAAUGUCCAGCCAAAUAACCAAAAAAUCAGCAAAGCCACAUUCAUAUUCCUUCUUGUUAAAAUUCGGCCAAAAUGGUGCAUCAUUGUCACAAUUUUUCCUACUUGAUUUUCUUUCCAUAAUUCAUUAAUUUCCAUAUCAAAAACUAUGAUUUCAUAAUCAAAUAACCUAAAAUAACAUCACAUACUUGAAAAUGAAUGUUUUUCUACAUAUUUUGUUUGCUAACAAGCUAAACUAACACUAAACACUAACAUAUAUCAAAAUCAAAUCAAUCCAACAAUUUUCUCUCUCUAGACCCAUAUGACCAGCCAUUAAAUCACCAUGAAAACAUGCAAUUUAAUCAUGGAAAAUAAGGAGAAAUGCUUGGGAAUAAGAAAACUCAAGCUUAAUAGAAAAAACUCACCUUUUUCACUUAAUUUCCUUGAAAAUUCACACUUUUUCUUUGAUUUUCUCUCUCUAGGGUUUUGUUUUUAUUUUCUCUCUCUUCUUGCUGGUUUGGCCAGCCAUGGGGUGGAAGAUGGGCUGAUUUUUGUGCCUUUUAAAAAGGAAAAUAAUAAAUUAAUAAAGGCAUGACACAUGGCAUCAUGUCAUUGGCCCGUUUUUAAAACUUAAAAAAUUUUAAUCCUUUUUAUCUCCACCACACACUUAGUCAAUGGUCAAAAUGAGAAUAAGGGAAGACCAUGUGCUGGAGAAAUGUCCUUGUGGUGGAAAAUUACUGUUUUGCCCCUAGGGUGACAAAAUUACCAUUUUACCCCUAUAUUCCGAAAAAUACCAAGAAUACAUUUUUUUCCACUUCUUAACCUCAAAUCAUACUCCAAUAAGUCAAAUGGGGCCAAAACUCUUUUCUAAAAAUUCCCAUUUUGUCCUCAAGUGGCAAAUGACUAUUUUACCCCUAGAUAGUGAAAAUUUUGGUUUGACUCUAAAUUGAUCCUCGAACUCUAAAUCACCAUAUUAAACCAGUCUAGGACUUUAAUAUUCUUAAUUUCAUCUUAAAUUCUCUAUUAGAUCUAUUUCGAGGCUUAAAUCAACUUUGUUGCUCCUCUAAGUAAAAUACCGACUUUUGUAAAUUUUUCGAGACUCUCCUAGCAUGUAAACAUGCUAUCCACCACAUGUAUGUCAUGAUAAGUAUUAUAUAGAGUCAGACUUGACAUCUUCUCCCCUACUUGGAUCAACCAUAUGAUCCUUCUUCAUAACUGAUUUCGACAUCCAGCUAAAUAUUAAUAUUUUAAUAUUAUUUCAUUAAUAAAAUAUUAUUUUAUUCUAAAAAUUUUAUCUUGUCUCUAUCAAUCACUGUUUCAAAGUAUGAGGCAUUUCAAGAUAGAAAUACCAAAUCAUGAAUUCUCAAUUUUUCCUCAGAAAUUAACUCCAAUUACAACUUAAGGUAACAUACAGCUAAUCCUUAAAUUCAUGCAUCAAUUCAAGUGAAAACUUAUUUUUUGAAUGGACUUCCCGUGUGUGUGUGAAUACUCUCUUACAAAGAAUAUCAUGCAAUUUAGAUUAAUUUAUGCCAAAUCUAAACAUAGAUUAAUACUAAGAUCCCAUAACUUUGCUUUCAUGUCUCUCUCCACUAAUGUAGAUUAACACUUAUUCAAGGAUCAAUAGGUCUUUAUCUAGCUUGUAAUGUAAGGCUAGGGUUAAGGUAUGAUAAAGGAUAUAUUUAGGCUCAAAUUCACCCUAAGCACUUAAUCAAUCUAAAUCAUAUAAAGAGCUCAAAUUUUAUUUGUAUAGCACCCCCAAACUUGAAAUAAACUUUCCUUUGUACCACACAUUUUAUUUCUUUCCUUUUCUUUUUUUAACCCCCAAACUUAUUUUUUACAAUUAUAAACUAGGGGUCAUUUUCCUAACAACCAUCACUUCCAUUUUUUUUCUUGUUUUUUUUUUUCACUUUUCUCCCUCAAUUUAUCUCUAAGCUCAAACCAUUCCUUAGAAAGAUUAAAAUACUUAGAGGGUGAAAGAUUCAAAUUGUUGGAUUUAAAUAGAAAGGCCAAGGCUAACAUAAUUGUGUAAUUACAAGAAAAAGGUAAAUUAGGCUAAAAAAGGGUAACUAAGGAUAAAUAUAAUAAGAUAGGCUCAAAAAGGCUCAAACGGUCCAAAGAUGACCUAAAUCACUUCCUAUCCUAAGUGUUAUCUAAGAUUUCGCCUCGAGAGAGAAUCAAACAAAUUCUAGAAUUCUUGACUUCACUAUACUUUUUCAUCAACAUAAAAUCUCUCUAAAUAACACAAAAAUUCUAAAUACAAGAGUAUAGUGCUCAAAUUAUUGGAAGUCACAUUCUAAAAUAAAGCUAACACAAGAAUAUCACAUAAAAUUAAUUCAUAACUAUAUAUUUCCCAAAAGCUAAGAAUCAAAAGAUAAUUAAAAUAUCAUCCUAGGAUUGGUAAUAUCAUGGCAUAGCCAAUUUCCAUCUCAAGCAUUCCUAAAAUAAAUCCUAAAAAAAAAAAUUAUGAAAAUAAACAAACCUAAAAACAUCACAAAAACUAAUAACAAUAAAACCCUCCCCCAAACCUUAAAAUUUAGCACAUUGUNAUGAAAAUAAACAAACCUAAAAACAUCACAAAAACUAAUAACAAUAAAACCCUCCCCCAAACUUAAAUUGCACAUUGUCCUCAAUGUUAAAAGCUAAAAAAAUAUAUAAGAAAAUUAAACUUUCUUAUUAAUGGUGGCAGUGCUUUGAAAGCUCUAAUUUUCUUUCUCCUUAUCUUCAUGCUUUCUAAAUCUGCAUGCACAACAAAAUAAGCUAGGGAGAGGUUAUAACUACUUAUUUACAUAGAAAAACAAAAAGUAACUAAAAUAACAACUAAAUCUAAAAGGAUAUAACUUGGGUUGCCUCCCAAGAAGUGCUUCUUUAUAGUCACUAGCUUGACUUUGGUUGAGUUCUUCAUUCACCCUUUAAGGAGGUUUGAGUUUGCAUGGAAAAAGUUUGAGGUGUGAAAGUAGUCUCCUCCUAAGAUGAGGUUGUAAUGGCUUUAACUUAAGAUUUGGUCUUGCUUAACCGAAGGUGGUGGAAUAAGUUGACUUUUACCCAACCUUUUAAAUUGAGUUCUUCUUGAAUAAUGCACUUUUGGUAUAGCUUUCAAAACAUGUGUAACAUUUGUGAGUUCCUCAUUUUGGUCCUUGGUUGUUGCAUCUUGAACCAAACAAGCUUCAAGGAGUUGCUUUGGAUUUUCCAUAUCGACAGCCUCCUUACGUAACUUAUCAACUUUAUCUAGAAAAGGACUGAGAGGCACAUAUGGCGUGACUUGUGGUGGUGUAGAUACUUCCUCCUCUUGCUUAAUUUUUUCAUCUUGGACUUGAUCGCUAGAAGUAUUACCUUGAUCUACUUUAUCUCCAUCAUCUACCACAGUCUUGCCAUUUACCUCAUCAAGAUGCUUACCAUAUUCUUCGUUUCUAGGAUUAGGCUCAAUGUUUUGGUAAAUUUUCUUGAGGCCUAUUGUUGAUGUAAUUGACAAGUUGGCUCACUUGAGUCUUAAGAUUUCAGAUUGAUUUUGCUUGACUUUGAAUGACGGCAUCAUUCUUUGUCAUGAAUUGCAUUAACAUAUCCUCCAAAGUUAGCUUCUUUUCAAGAAUAGGGUCUCUAACUUGUGACUGGAAAUCAUGCUGAAAAACAGGUUGUGAUGAAUAUGUAGAACACUAAUCAUUACUCCAUGAAAAAUUUGGGUGAUUCCACCAUGAGUUGUAACUAUUAGAGUAUGAAUUGUUUUCUUGCCCAUUAAAGCUUCCAUCAAAUUGCAUUGAUUCAUAAUAGGUUGGACAACAAUCACUUGAAUGCCUGUCUCCACAAAGCAUGCAUACCACAAAAGCACUUUGAAAACCAUUAACUCCCUAAGCAUCAAUUUUUUGAGACAAAGUAUCUACUUCGAUUGCCAAAGCAUUAAUAGCCAAUUCAUAAUCACUAGCAACCCUCCUAGGCAUAAAUUGUUUAGAUGUCCAUUGAUAGUUACAAUAAUUCAUCUCCUCAAUGAAAAGUACUUGAAAAUAAAAUAAAAAAAAUUGAAUUAAGACUAAAUUUGCUUGGUAUUAGUAUUAGUAAAAAUUUAGAGACAAAUCCCUGGCAACAGUGCCAAAAACUUGUUAGUUAAAAUUCUGCUGCGCAAGUAUACGUAUCGAAUAGAUAGUAUAUAAGCAAGUAAAGUAUCGAUCCCAUACGAAAUUGAUCUAAAAUUUUACUAAGUACUAAAAUUAGAAUAAUUUAAUCUUAUCCAAACACUCAAAAUUAAUUGAUCAUCUAAACUAAUUAACUAAAAUUUAAACCAACAAGAAAAUCAAAAUAAUAAUAACUUGAAAAAAAAAUCAAAUCAAACAAGCCUAGGAUUACAAUAUCCCUCACACUUCAUCUAAAUCUUACCUCUCUUCCUUAACUUAUUUCAAUGGGUUGAAUUGUUAACCUAAAGUCUUUAAUUAUUUAUAAGGGUCUCCCGACUCAUCUUAUAAAAAUAUCUAUUUUAACCAAAACACUAUAUCCCUAUGUGAAUUGAAAUUAAAAUAGACUCAUUAAGUUUAGGCUCUAAUCUGGCUACAUAUGGCCUAUAAGUAUAUCCCUAUCUUAUAAGCAAAUCAAUUAAUAUGAUCAUAUGCUAUCCCAAUUUUGGUUUACUCUAAACUCCCUUUCCCAAGUUUAUUUAGGUUCCUAAAUCAAUUUAAUUGGUGGCCAAGCAAUUAAAAGCAUUAAGAACAAAUUGGAAUAAACAAUUCAAAUCCCAUUAAAAAUAAGUAAGAAAGAGAUUAAAAACUUAGGUUACAUGUGAUUUCAAAUGUAAUCCUAGAAAAAGAAAAUUAGCUACUCAUAAUUGCAAAAUAAAAUAACAUUGUAUAAAAUUCAACCAUUGAAAGUAACAAGAACAAUAAAAGCCAAGGAAGAAAACAAAACAAUAUUUGCUGCCUUGAUCUCCAAGUUUUAGUCUCAAUUUCUAGCUUCUUAAAUCUCCGAAGGUUCUCUAUUUUAAUGUUGUUAAACAUAUCCUAUUUAUACUAAUACGCUUAACCUAAAGUUCCUUAAGCUGAUUUAGGGUUUAAUUGGGCUUAAAAGUGUAAUGAGAGGCCCAAAAAUCAAUUGUCAAUCUUUACAAAUUUCUAUUCCCAGCACAGUACGUCAAGCUAUAUUUUGACAUGAUUUUCUCUAUAUUCAAUGCAGAAAUGGGCAAAGUGAUCACAUUAAAGUUGUAGCUCUUUCUCUUAACUUUCCACUGGUCCAAGAAUCGUAUCAUUUGAAGUUAUGUAGCUCGAUAUAUGGCCAAAAUACUGAAGCAUAUGCAAGUAGAUUCUAGGUCUUUCAACACCUUACUUUCCAAAAUUAAGCCAAAUCACUUUUAAUCCUAAAAGAAAAUAUAAAAACUAAUAAAUAAUAACCAAAUUAAAAGGAAUGACAUAAAAUUAAAAUAACUAACUUAAAAGUAAUCUAAUUAUAAAAACAGCUAAAAAUAAGCAAAUUAUAAUUGAAAAUUGAGGACUUAGCUAAUAUUUCAUAACAAAAUUGGACUAAAAUAAUUCUAUAAAGUAUAAUUUUCAAUUUUCAAAAUGCUUAUGAAUCUACUAUGCAUGUAAAUAUUCUACUACAUAUUAGUUUUCAACAAAGGGGACAAGCACCUUAUGUUUGAAGUCCACUCGAUUACUUCGGUCUUCAAACUAUUGUGGGUAUGAAAUAUUGUAUGUCUAUUUAUAGCUACUAUAAUGUGCAUGUUUGGUAUGAUGAAUGCCAUAAGAUUAGGUAUAUGAUGUGAAUUUCAUACACCAUAUGAGAGUAUUAAUAUGCAUGAUGUAUACUAUAAGAUUGUGUAUAUGAUGUAAAUUCCAUAUACCAUAUGAGAUGACUGAGGAAGCAUGAUGAAUGCCAUGAGAUUAUGUAUAUGACGUAUUUUUCAUAUACCUUAUGAGAUGAGUAAACAUGUAUGUGAUGAACUUUCCACAUACUUAAUGCUAUGAGUAUGAGAACUCAAUGAGUGUGAUUGAUUCCACUCUCACAGGGUGUAAGUGACGACUUCACUCCUAUGAUGCAGCAUAAACGUCCAAGGUGUAAUAGGAGUGUACAUUACCAGCCCAAGGUUGACAUGGGACAUACCAUCACAUUGUAUGAUUUAUGGUAAUUGAAUGAGGCAUUUUAAUGUUAAUGGGAUGAUUAUGAUUGCUCUGCAUUUAUGAAAUGUUUGUAUGCCGUGUUUAUUUGAGUAUAGUUAAUGACUUAUACAUUAUGUUGGCAUGGGAAUAAGUUAGAUGGAAUGAAUUGAGCAUUAAAGGUAGUCUCAAGAGGUAAGAGGACCUAAAGAAUGGUAAAAAUGCUAAAUUUUACCCAAAAACAUGGGUUAUGUGUUCAAAAUAUCGGUACAUUCUAAACAAAACGCUUCAUGAAGCUUUCUGUGUGAAAUGUAUCAAUACAUUUCACUAAUAUAUCAAUAGGUUCUUGAAAGUAUCGAUACAUUCAAGAAUGUAUGUGACACCUUGUUCCCUCGUAGAGAAGUCAAUAUGACUUUAUCAAUGAGAUAAAAGGGUCAAUGGAUGCUGAUUUAAGUGUCAUAGAGUGGAGACGGGUGAAAAGGAUAUUUUAAAAUAAAAUAUCCUGCAUGCAAGGAAAUAAUAAUAAAAUAAUAAUAUUUUUAUUGAGGAUGAAUUAGUGAGUUAAAAGGUGAUUCGGAAGUGAACCAGGGCAUAAUAACACAUUUUGGGUUCCAAGGAGACAAGUGGAAAAUCUUGGAAUAAAAUAAUAUUAAAAUAUUAAUAUUUUAUUUAAUGUCAAAAUUAGUCAUGAAGGAGAACUAUAUGGCCACUCUAAGUGUGGGAGAAGAAAUAAGAAGGAAUUUCAAAGAAAAAUGACAUUAGUAGGGCUUGCGUGUCUUUAUUAAAUAAAGCUAGUGCUAGUAAGUAUAUAUUUAAAUAUUAUGGUGAUACCAUGUUAAAGUGCAAACUUUAUAUUUUAUUGGCACACAUGUAAAGGAAGAAAAAUAAAAGAAAAUUGGAAUUAAAAGAUUGUUGGGAGAACUAAAUUAAAAAGAAAGAGAAACUUGGAAGGCAAAAAUGGUAAUUUUUUCGUGAACUUGGUUAAAGCUUCCAAAGGAAGCUUUGACUCUUUUCUUCCUUAUCCAUGGCUGAUCCUUAUCUCUUCAAGAUGGUGUUUUUUUUCUCCAUCUUCUUCCUCCCACGCCAUUUUUCUUUCUUCACCAUAAAAAUCAAGUUUUUCUUUUCUUUUCUUACUUCUCCAUUCUCCUACCCGUUUAUUCACCCAACCCAUAGCUCUUAACCUCAUUUUUCAUCCCAACUGAACCUUAAGAGAGAGAAAGAAAGAAAGAAGAAAGGAAAGAAAGAAAGGAAAAAGGAAGAGAAAAGCUCGAAGGAGGCUCGGCCUUGGAGAAGAAAAGAGAAAAUCGAGAGGUUUUCCUCCUCACCCACACACCAUUGUUGAGUUUUGAAAAGAUUUUAUUGGUUUGCCUUGUGGAUUUCAAGGUAAGGAAGGUAGAAAUUGAUGUUUUGUUUGAAAGCAUAUAGUUUGAACCAAUUAUGAUGUGAGGUUUUGUUUGUGGUAGCAAGGAUCAAUAACGAUCCAAAGAACCCGAGGCAUGCAUGUGGAAGAAUCUUGGAAUGCGUGGUGAUUUUAAGCUAGAUUAAGUGGUGGGUAAGCGUUCUAACCUCUAAAUCACCAGUAAAAAGGAAAAAUGAGAUAUGUAUUGAUUGUUUGUGCUUGCGGCAGCAUGUAAAAGUAAAUUGUGGUGCAUGUCGACUUAGAAAAUGCUUGAUGGAAGUAAAUUUAUAGUUGCUGGCAUAUGCUAGGUUGUUGGUGUGGAAGUGAUGGUUGAACUUGAUAAAUAUCCUUAGAAAAGAUUAAUAUAUGUGCUAGAGUCAUAAAUAAGUUGCUGGUAUUUAUAAUCUAAAGAAGUACGCAAGCAAAGGAUAAAGGCAACCUCGGUAAAAAUGUGUCAAGAUAUAAGUUAGUUGAAUAAGGAUUCACGAUUGAAUGAAAGAAGAAGUAGAAAUGAUAUACAUUAAAGAUAUUGAGUUUGGAUUGUUGCUAGGAAGUACAAAAAUAAAGAUAGUGUUUUAUGGUGGCGUGCCGGAGGAACUAACGAGUGACCGACAAGUAGAAAUAGCUUGAUAUGCCUUCGAAUUAAUAGUGAUAUAGUAUCCCGCUAUCUUAAGGUGAGUGAAUUUGCAUUUAGAAGGUUUUGAACAAAUGCAUAUGUGUUGAAUGAAAUGCUAGAAUAUCCUUGGUUGACUCUUUUCAAAUUUAUGCACGGGAACAAGCUUUUCACAAGUGAUACUUCUACAUUUUUAAACAUGUAAUGUGAUGAAUCACGUAUUUGAAAUAUUAUGUUGAAUUGCCAAUUGAUUUGUGUAUGUGAUGUAUUGUUAUGCAAAGAUUUCUAUUACAUGUAGUUAUGUGUGCCAUGCAUUGCAAUGUAAUGUUAAAUGAUAAUUAUAAGCAUGCGUGUGCGGUGUGAGAAUGCACAUGAUGGUGUUGGUAGUGUGCGGUGUGGAAGAGUACACACCAAAUGAUAUAUGCCAUGUGUGGUGUGAGAGAGCACAUGAUGAUGAUAUAUGCCAUGUGCGGUGUAGGAGAGCACAUGAUGAUGAUAUAUGCCAUGUGCGGUGUAGGAGUACACAUGAGGAUAUUAGCUAUGUGCAGUGUGGGAGUGCACAUGAGCUGAGUUAAGGUUGGCGGGUGUAUGUGUCGAGUCGUGGUGACUAGUGUGGAGAUGACCUUGGUUUAUGUUUGAAUUAUCUAUAUAUUUAUAUAUACAUAAUGUAUACGUGAAUUUUUACACGCAUGUGCACCUUUCUUGUGGAGUAGAGAUUUUUGGAAAAAGUAAUGUGAUUGAAUUGUAUAUUGAAAGUUGAUAUUCUUAACUGUUUUCAAAAUGAGUUGAAAAACAGCAUGGCAUCGAGUUUUGUUUAUGAUAUACAAAUUGCAUGGUUUCAAUACAAGUGCAUCGUGUUUUCUAAAAAUUCUUCCGUAUUGUUUGCUUGUUCCCUUCCUAUGUUCACUCACUAAGUUUAUACUCAUUCUUUUCAACUUCAUGUUUUAGUUUCAGGAUUGAAGGUAAUUGGAUCCUAGGUCGAGGUGCUCCUUCCUAUUCAUCUUUUGAUAGGUUCACUAUGACUCUCAACGAUAUUACCCAUGCCCAAAGUCACUCCGCAAGUUGUCAAAGGUCGGUUGUAUGUUUAUAUGUGAUGGUUUCAUGUAAAUUGUGAGAUUUGUUGUGAACUUUGUAUGUACUUGAUUUUCACGAUUUAAAUUUGAAGAGAUUGUUAUUAGAAAUCACGAGUCUUAGAUUUUAAAGAAAAAGAAGUGAUAGAUGGACUACUGACGGGUUUACAUAGAGAGGCUUGCUUGGGCCUAGUGGACUAUGCCUAUUGGGCCUAUGUGCCGGUCAUGGCUGGGGUUUUGGGCUGUGACAAUGUACCAAUGGAUUCAUUGCAAAAAGGGUUGUUGAUUAAAUUUGACGAGAAUUUCAAAGGCAAAGAGGCUUUAAGAGGUUAUGCAAACUUGUUUUCAUGCAAAUGCUAUUUAAAUUGUGUUUAAAUACUAUGUUUUAUGAACUUUAUGAUUAAAUUGUUUACGAAUGGCAUGAGAUUACGAGCUCAUGUUUAUGAAAUACUCUUAUCCCUUACCUUGUCCUUUUCCCAUAUCUAAUCAUGGAGUCUUUGUGACUCACGCAUUGUUUUCCCUAAUUAUUUUGUUACAGAUCAAUGACAGCAUUUUGAUAGUAGCUAGUGUCGUGGAUACAAGUGUCCAAUCUUCAUUCAUUGGUAGGUGUCUAACAGCCACUUGAUGCUUAGAGGGUCAGUCACGUUCUUCUUAUGAGUCAAUCUUAUGUUUAUAUUUAUGGUUUCGAUUUUUUUUUUGGAUUACAAACAGAUUAUGUUAAUGUAGCCUAUGUUAAUGUAAAUGGCAACUCAAGAGCCCAUAUGGACACCCGAGGGUGUUGACACAUGUAAAAGAUAUGGUGCACUAAGAAUGUGGCACUCAAAUGGUAUGUGAAUGUUGCACUUACACUUAAAUGUUAAGAAAUUCCAUAUAUGUGUAACAUUGCAUAUAACAAUACGCAUGAGUUGAAUUGUAUACUUAUGAUGAUUAUGUAUGUUUUCCAAAUGAUGAAUGUUUUAUGACGAAUGUUUAAUGAUGAAUGUGACAAAAGCUUGCUUGGGCCUAAAGCAUAUACUUGUCUGGGUCCUUGCAUCGAUCACAAUCCCUCUAGGAAUUUGGAUGUGAAAUGCUUGUUGGCUCACAAGUGCCUAAUGUGUUGCUAGGUAGCACACUAGGCUAUUAUGUGGUAGUAGUGGGCUAGGUUGGAUCAGCCCUUCUUGGGCUGAGCCUACCCCACCCACUUUUUUAUAGGAAAACAAUUUCUAGAAUUAAUAUUUUUUUCUCUCAAAAAUAUUUUUUUGGAACAUUAAAAUUGUUAGCCUUAGAUUGAAAAAUAAUUCUUUUUUGUACAAAUUAAUGAGAUUAAUUAAGUGUACAAAACUAAAAUUAUUUCCAAGUUGGAUUAAUUAAAUAAAAAAAAAUUAAAUUUUUCAUGAUAGCCACAAAUCGAAAGAGUAACAAGUGGAAAGUGUUCCAAGUAAGCAACAGAAGCAAGGAAGAUUGAAGAAUUUUUUUUAUGAUUUGUAAUUUUUAUUUUUCUAGGAAGGACAUGAAUGUGGCUUAUAUAUAUAUAUAUAUAUAUAUAUAUAAAAUGUCACAACUAAACUCGAGGACCAUGACUAGUGCAAGGGUAUUGAAAGGAGUAACCUGUUUAACCCAAGCAAGCCUUGGAACAAUAAACAAAAUACUCAAAUCGAAGUUAUAAGAUACAUUAUCAUGAAAUUCUUAAAUCAUAUUUAUUUCAAAUAUCAAAUACUUGUUUGCGCGAACUUUUGCUCAAAAUACAAAAGAAUAAACAUAACAAAAUUCAAAGUAUAUGCCAUCUUGUGGCAAGUAUCAAAAUAUAUUAUUUAUUAUAAAUAAUAACUUGUCAUGAUUCAAGACAAUCACAACAUAAAGAUUGGACCAGUGGAGUAAGAGUCAAACAAAAGGGUUGAUGCCUAUUAGAUGCCAUGACGAUCACUUGCCAAGACUGACCAUGGAAUAGCUUCCCCCAAGGGAUAGUGAGCCAAGCAAUCUACUGAUAUGAAAUAACAAUUGUAUCUUAGAUGUUUGAGUUAUAAAUAACUCCAUUAGCAGAUACAGGGAAAGGGAACAAGCAAAUGGGAAGAGUGUUUAUCAAAUACAUUUUUAGAAAUAAUGCAAAUAUACAGAUAUUAAUUAAUUACGAAACCAAUUUUCUUAACAAACAAAUUAUUUCGAGAGUUCCAAAUUUGCUUUUCCAAGCGUGUCAAAUAUCGAAAGAUUUCAAGGUUCACUUCCCACCCAAAUCAGUUAUCGAAUAGGAAUCAAUGUCUGUUAUACAGAUCAUAUGAAGUGAUUCUAAAAAAUUUUGGAGAAAAAAAUUAAUGAUUGAAAAAAAAUGAAUUUAGAUUUUCAAAAAGUUUGAAAUGAAUAUAAACAUCAGUACAAGUGAUUCAAUGAAAACACUUGUUUGAAAUCAGUUAAGAAAUGCUUAAAAUAUAAAAUAAGUGAUCCAAAGGUUUGAUUAUAAGAAAAAUCUUGUGUGUUUAGAAAAUCUUUUGAAAAGUAGUUAAAAAAACCAUAAAUAGUCUUAUCAAUCGAUACAUUGCUCAAAUGUAUCGAUAGAUUUUUCAAUCCAUCAAUAAAUGUUACAUAGAAUGCAAUCUAAAGGGUUUUGGAAAAAAAUCUAUCGAUACAUUCUUUAAAUGUAUCAAUAGAUUUGAGAUAAAAUCUAGUUUUCUCGCCUAAAACUCAUUAUUGAGACUCUAAACAAGACUAUCAAGCAUCCAUAUUCACAUAAUCAGACUCAAACAUCAAGUCAGAGAAAUAUACAACCAAUACAUAUCAAACAUCAAUCAAUACAUAUCAAUUAUGAACCUAGAUAAAUUGUGGAGCCUACAAAAAGACAUCUAAAUCAACAAGUGUCAUCACACUUAAGAACAAUCCGCUAUUCUUUGGCCAAAAACCAUUUUUUCAGAGAGGGUAGAACUUCGUUAGUGAUAACUCUAUUCAAUAUAGUUAUUUUGUUACAUUUUGAGUAUUAAAUUGCCUAGGUUUUUAAGAUUUAGGUUCAGAAUUAGGUGUUUUAGUUGUUUUUCUUGAUUUAGUUUAAAUCAUGUUAAGUUGUUCUAACUCAAGUUGUUUUAUUUUAGUUUUAUGUUAAAUUUCUUUGAGUUUAAUUUAGAAUUGAUUUAGUUUUAUGCUUUUGUAGGUAUACAAUUAAAAAGGCUUCAAUUAUUGAAGAAGAGUGCAUGAAUGGCCAAUGCUUCUCUCAUACAUGUUUCAUUAUUUUGAGUAUAAUUUUUAUUCUAGAUGUUCAAUUAAUGUGAUUCUUUAUUCAUUGGAAAGCUAAGAGACAGAGCUACAACUUUUAUGUUUACCACUUUUGCCAGUUCAACUAGAUAGAAAAGAUCUAGCUUCCCAAGUUGAAUGAGUGUAGUUGAGUGCAUAGUGAAGACAGCAGAUGUGGCACUACGACACUAGAAGGAAGAUGAAGAAAAAAUAUACAGCAAAGGCAACAUCGAGAAAGUGAAGCAGCUACGCCGCACCAAUAUCUUGGGAAAAGGCUUUUCCAAGCUUUAUAAAAAUUAGGUUUUUUUGAGGCUAUUUUAAGGUACCUUGAAGCAAUUGAAAAACACAAUUAAGCUAUGGCUUUAUAAAAAGCCGUCAAGAACUUAAAAAUACGAAGAAAAACUUGAAUGAUUGAAGAUCAAAGACCUGACAAUCUUUAGUUUUCUUUUCUUCUCUAUUUCUUCUUUGAUUUUAUUGAAUUGUUAUUGAUGGUUAAACUUUUUUGAAUUGUGUUUUUAUUAUUCAUCAUGAACUAAUUUUCUUAAUUUAGGAAUGCAACUGAACUCAACAUGUAGUUUGGAUUUUUAAUUUGACUCUUGCUUAUGAUCAAUGGAAUAUGUGUUUUUUAUUCCAAUCUUGUGUUUAAUUUUGCUGAUUGCUUGAUCACCAAUUAGAUUGAAUUUGGAAACCUAAAUGUAACUUGGAAAAAGGAGUUUAGUGUAGGCCAUGGAUGGAAUAGCAUAAGUUCAAAUUCACUUAGUUGAUUAGGUAAUUUAAUUUGCGUAUAGGAUAAGAACAUACUUAUAUGUCUUAUGUGGCCAAGAUUAGAGCAUGAACUUAAUAACUUUGUCUUUAAUUCAAUUCUUAUAGGAAUAUAGUGAAUUGGUUAAUAUAAAUAUUUUUAUAAGCAUAUCGGAAGAGACUUAAUAAGUAAUUUGAGACUUUAGGUUAGUAACUCAAUCCAUUUAGUAAGUCAAAAGAGAAAGAGACAAAAUUCAAAUAAAGUGUUGAAAGAUAUUGUAAUCCUAGGCUAGUUUAUUGAUAAAUUUUCUAGUUAAAAUUUGCCAACAACUUUUAGAUUUAAUUUAGCUAUUGUUUAGUUUUAGUUUUGCUUUUAGUUAAUCACUUUAUUUCGGUUGUUCGAAUAAGAUUAAAUUGUGAUAAUUUUAGUACUUAACAAAAGUUGGUACAAUUCUCUAUAGGAUUCGACACUUUGCUUACCAUUAUAUUACUUGUUAACAAUACGUGCACUUGCUUGAUAAAGUCGACAAUAAGUGUUUCACGCUGUUGCUGGGGAAUUGUUUUCUUAUUUUUUGCUAAUAUUAUUACCAAGCAAUCUUAGUCUUAAUUCAAACUUUGUUUUUUUUAUUUUCAGGUACUUUUGGUCGUUGUAUGCAAAGAGUAAGAAGUUUGGAGAUCGUUCCUUUUGGAGAUUGUUCCUUUUGAUCUAGAAAUCGAAAAGACUUUUCAAAAACUUCAGAGAGAAAAUUCACGAGCUUCAACUCACAACGAAAUAAUGGCUAAACAACAAGGAGAAGAGAACAAAUCUUUGAGAGAAUAUGUUGUUCCUCUUGUGCAAGAUCUUCACUUUAGCAUCUGAAGAUCUACCAUACAAGAUAAUAACUUUAAGAUCAAGCCAACAAUCAUUCAGAUGAUUUAGACUUCUGUGCAAUUUGGAAAACUACCCAAUGAUGAUUAGAAUGCUCAUGUUGUGAAUUUUCUAGAGAUUUGCAAUACAUUCAAGCAUAAUGGGGUCACUGAUAAUGCUAUUAAACUAAGAUUUUUUCCUUUUUCAUUGAGAGACAAGGCAAAAAGUUUGGGAAAGAUACAAGGAUUUAUUCAAAAGAUGUCCCCAUCAUGGGUUACUUAAAUGGCUACAGGUAUAGACUUUUUAUGAUAGGCUGUUGGGUUUAAUUAGAACUACUAUUGAUUCUAUAACAAAUGGAGCACUCAUGGCAAAAUCUAUUGAUGAGGCAUAUAAUUUAUUGAAAGAGAUGGCUUCUAAUAACUAUAAAUAACCAUAUGAGAGAUUGGUACUUAGGAGAGUUGCUGGUAUUCAUGAGUUAGAUGUAAUUAAUGAUUUGACCACAUAAGUAGUUGCUUUAACUAAGAAAUUUGAUGCUUUAGGAGUUUAUGUUGUUUAGAGCCCAUUUGUAACUUAUGACUUGUGUGGAGAAAGGCAUCCUAGUUAUCAUUGCCUAGUUACUUUUGAAUUAGUGCAGUUUGUUGGAAACUUCUAUAGGCAGUAAAGCAAUCCAUAUUCUAACAACUAUAAUCUUGGUUGGAGGAAUCACCCUAACUUUUCAUGGAGAAACAAUCAAGAAUCUUCAUUAGUAGCAAAGCCAAAUUUUCCUCCUGGAUGUCCACCUCAAGUUAGAGCUCCUAUGCUUGAGAAAAAGCCAUCUAUGGAAGAGUUAUUCAUGUAAUACAUGGUAAAGACUGAUUCUCUCAUUCAUAGUCAAGUAGCAUCAUUAAAGAAUCUUGAGACACAAGUGGGUCAACCUGCCAAUACCAUUAAUAAUAGGCCUCAAGGAACCUUAACAAGUUACAUUGAAGCCAAUCCUAUAAGAGAAGGUAAAGAGCAUUGUAAGCUAAUCACCCUUAGAAGUGGAAAGGAAAUAGAUAGGAGCAACAAGUAAGCAGAUUCUCUAAGUAAGCCUGUUGACAAAGAAACCAUGGUUGAGAAUUCUGAUGUACAACCUCAAGAAAGAAGGUUAAGUUUAACCCACCACCACCGCCCUUUCCUUUUGCAUUUUCAAAAACAAAAGUUUGAUAAGCAGUUCCAGAAGCUUUUAGAGGUAUUUAAGAACCUUCAUUUUAAUAUUCCUUUCACUAAAGCUUUGAAACAAAUGCCAACCUAUGUUAAGUUUCUGAAAGACAUUCUGACUAAGAAGAAGAUAUUAGGUGAGUUUUAGACAAUUGCACUUACUGAGUGUAGUGUUAUCAUCCAAAAUAAGCUUCCACUAAAGCUCAAGGAUCAAGGUAGUUUCACCAUCCGAUUGACUAUUGGUACUCUAUUCAUUGCAAAAGCUUUAAGUGAUUUGGGAGCAAGUAUCAAUAUGAUGCUUUUAUUUGUUUAUCGAAAACUUGGUCUAGGAUAAAUCAAACCUACUACUGUGGCCUUACAACUUGCUAAUUGAUCUCUCACCUGUGCAAGAGGUAUUGUUGAAAAUGUGCUUAUUAAAGUUGAUAGGUUUAUUUUUCUAGUAGACUUUAUUGUACUUGACAUGGAGGAAGAUCAAGAUAUUCCAAUUAUUCUUAGGAUACCAUGUUGUCACGACCCAAAUUCCGCGCCAUGAUCGGCGCAUGGGUCCAAUGGACGUAAUCCACUAAACCCAAGCAAGCCUAUUAUUUAUCAUACUUAUGAUUCCAUCUAUUAUCACUAAGUCAUAUUUCAUGACUUUGAAUCAAAAUAGUGAUAUACAUUGCCAACUCGUACUAGCAUUACUCAUUUAAAAUUUACAUUAAGUUCUUCUAUACAUAACAAAAUAAUACUCGACUUCCAGCGGAGGGACUCGUAUGAAUAUACAGCUACCAAAUGUCAAGACACCUACCAAAAGAUGGACACAAGUCUACAAGGACACCUCGUCCUAAUUAUCGGCUACCUCGUGAUCUGAAAACAUGAAUUUGAAAAUGGUGAGUAUAAACCCAGUGAGUGAACAAGGAAGGGAAUAAGCAACAAUUAGGGAAAUUUUAAAAUCAUGAUGCACUUGUUUCAAAACAAUGCAAUUUAGCUCAUUCCUAUUUAAAACCCCUCUAAACCCCAGAGUUUUUCGCUGCAGCGAGCAUGAAUUUCGUUAUAGUGAAAACAGAGCAAAAAGAGAAACAUUUUUCCUCACUCAACAAAAAGCCAUCUUAUUAAACUAAUAAAAUCAACCUAAAAUUCAUGAAAAUUCUCAAAGUACAAUGUGUCAAAUUUCACGUACAUUACAACCAUAAAUCAUUAUCCAUCAAUUUGCUAUAUCACACAUAUUUACAUAUGUAUAUACAUAUAUAUAUAUAUAUAUAUAUGUAUAUACCCAUCAUCAUCUCACCAACCCAUCAUCAUCAUCACCAACUCAUCAUCAUCAUCACCAGCUCAUGCGCACUCCUUACUCGCACAUGGCUGGGUCAUCACCGGGUUAUGCGCACUCCCUACUCGCACAUAAUCGGGUCAUCCUCGGCUUAUGCGCACUCCCUAUUGGCACAUAGUCGAGUCAACAUAAUUCCACAACAUUAUACUCAAGCAUAUAUGUAUAUCAACAUAAUGCAGCCACAUAGAAAUCCAUAAUAACCACAUUUCAUAACAUAAACUUUUUCUCAAAAGCUUGUUCCCAAGGCAUUCAUUUUCAUGAAAAAAAUUUCAUAAAAUCAUUCAAACACUUUGUUCAAAACAGUCAUAUUCCCAAAACAAUUUUGAUAGGCAGUCCACUCACAAGUGUCGAAAAUUCAGAUUCUGGGUGAACUCUGACUAAUAGUCCUCAAGUGCAAUUCCUUUGCCUUUUCCAGACGUCUCACCACCUUGACAAAUAACAAAGUCGAGAAAUUUACUAAAUUGUCCCUAAAUUGAUAUAAAUUAAUUUAAAUUACUAAUGCUUGAUAUGUAAAUGCAAAAAUACGUCCAAUUAUCGCUUAAUCACGGUAUCGAUUAAAUUCGACCGAUCACCCGAUUAAUUGGCGACUGUGUCCACAUCACCUCCAAAUUAAUUCAUUUUUCCUCUAAUACCUUAAUUUACCACAUGCUAUUGAAAUAAAGCCAAAUUCAGCAUUAGAACCCUCACAGUUCCUUAUAGAAAAAUUCGAUCAUUUGGUGCACUAGCACCAAAAUUUUUUCUACAUAACCGUUUCACUUAAUUCAUCAUUUUCCAAGCCAUUUUCCUUGAAAUAAAAACAAUCUCCCAUUGAUAUUCAGCCCUCAUGGUUUGACCAACAAGGAACCCUAGAGAAAUUGAAUAUUUCUUUUGUGUUUUUGUUCAUAACCAUGCUUAACUAUCCUUAAACACUAACAUAGUCUAAAAUCAAAUUAUUCCAACAACAAUUCCUCUUCCAUACCCAUUUUUCAGAAUUGAAUUCAUCAUGAUAACUCAAUAUUCAACUAUGGAAAUCAAGAACAAAAGCAUGGGUAAGCUAGGUAUCAAGGAGAAUUAAAGAAAUUUUAACUUACCUAGCUUGUUUCUUUGAUUUCUUCACUUUUUCUUUGAAUUUUCACCUAGGUUUUCUUGUUUUUCCCUUUGUUCUU
rnacentral:lncRNA from 1 species